rnacentral:lncRNA from 1 species
AAAGUUAAUCCUAAUCAUGCAUAGGUAUUACAUUUGUUGUUUAAGAUUAUAUUAUAAUCUCGCUUCGUGAUUUCUCAUGUGCAGGACCUGCAAGAUGUUACCGUCAGAUCAAGAACAAGCCUUAUCCUAAGUCACGGUAUUGCCGUGGUGUUCCAGAUCCUAAGAUUAGGAUCUAUGAUGUCGGGAUGAAGAAGAAGGGAGUUGAUGAGUUCCCCUUCUGUGUUCAUCUGGUGAGUUGGGAAAAGGAGAAUGUGUCAAGUGAGGCUCUUGAGGCUGCCCGUAUUGCAUGCAACAAGUAUAUGUCCAAGUUUGCUGGGAAGGAUGCUUUCCAUCUAAGAGUGAGAGUGCAUCCUUUCCAUGUCUUGCGUAUCAACAAGAUGCUUUCAUGUGCUGGAGCUGAUAGGCUCCAGACUGGGAUGAGGGGUGCCUUUGGGAAGCCUCAGGGGACAUGUGCUAGGGUGAUGAUUGGUCAGGUCCUUCUGUCUGUCCGUUGCAAGGAUAGCAAUGGUAACCAUGCACAAGAAGCCCUACGCCGCGCCAAAUUCAAGUUCCCUGGCCGUCAAAAGAUCAUUAUUAGCCGAAAGUGGUAUGUAUCAAAAAGGAAAAGAUUGAUAAUAAAAUAGUGCUUGAGAUAUGGAUAAGAAUUUAUUGGUGUUGCUAAACUUGGUUUCUGCUUAGUUGUGUUUGCUUCCACAUCUGGGGCAUGCAAUGCAGUGAGAGAAAACAUGGAUGGCUGACUUGUGAUGAGAGUUUUAUAAUAUGCGUCUUGAUAUAUUUGUUUUCACUAUUUUCUAGUAAGCUUUUUUCCAUUCUUCUCUUCAAAGGGAGAAAGAACUGAACCAAGAGUGUUGUGUUUAUAGAAUUAUUGGAGUAUCCAUAAAAAGUAAUUUACUUCAUAACAUUUAGGAUAUGCAUAGUUUUCUGUUUCAAGUUCUAACUAAUGUUAAAAGCUAUGUGGUUUUGGCUAUGGGGAACGGUGCUAGAUUAUGCUUUCUUAAAUUUGUGAUUUGUGUUCAUGAAUAUUCACAUUGUGAACUUAUUUUUCAGGGGCUUCACAAAAUUUAACCGCACUGAUUAUCUGAAGUGGAAAAGUGAGAACAGAAUCAUCCCAGAUGGCGUCAAUGCUAAGGUAUGUUUGUGGAUACAAGGUUUUAAUCUCUGCACCAAAAAGCAUGGACAUGUAUCAUUUCACUAUCCCUUAAAUUUACACGGCAACCUGUGAAUUUCUUCUCCCCUAUACACCCCAUGAUUCAAUGGAAUUGGGGAUGCCCAAAGUUGAAAUGCUAUCACAUUUGUUCUGCUGUAGGCACUUGUUAGACACAAGCUACCUUUUUCCUUUGAGAUAACGCUCUAGGGCAGCUGCUGUUUUUGUGUGGCAUUAGUCUUGGCAGGCUCGCUUUGUCUUCUUCGACCUGCUACUCCACUUUCUGCCAGUCAUGUUUAUUGAAAUAUCCUUGCAUUUUGAUUGGCAUUACGAGGGCUAGUUCAUAUCACCUUUGUUUUGAUUGGAGUUCAUUCAAUAGCUGUCUCACAUUGUCAAUCCGCUAGGGAAACUUUAGUUGGAUGGUAGCAAAUAAAUGGAGUAGAACUUGUGUUUUAGAAAUUUCCUGUCAUUUUAGUCUAUUUACAGCGUGCAAGAUGACCAACUCUAUUGUGAACGUCUCUUUGGUGGUUCAGUUACUUGGAUGCCACGGGCGGCUUGCUGGGCGCCAACCUGGACAGGCAUUCCUUUCAGCUGCCAUUGCCGAAGCUUCUUAGGAUAUUUCAGUUGGAGAACAAGCACAAGACUAUUGAUCCAUCAUUUUUGUUUCAAUGUCCUAGAUCAUGUUGGAGUUUACUUACCUAUUGAUUUUGUUACCUUUUGCAGCAUAUGACUGCUAGUUUUACUUCUUAUGGAUAUUUGUUUUGUUCUGUGCUUGGACAACUGGGAUAUGACAAUUUAGCUUUUGAAGUUCCUGCUUAUAUGGAUGAUGUGUUGCAAAAUGAGUGUUGCUCCUUUAUUCCCGCUCUUAUUCUCUAACUGCAGGGAUUGCUAGGAAACAUUUGUGUGGCAUUCAUGUUUGUUAAGCUGAAGGAAAUUGGUGUCAAGAUUUGGUGUUUCAUCUGUUUGUUUAGGUGAUUUGACAUAAGUCUGUACGGCUGUACCUAAAACAAGUCUUCCGGGCGGUGAGGGUCCAUUAUCUGUUUCAUGAAUCGUGGGCAUGCGUUUGGUAGCUUGUGUAGUCGCUGUAGCUGUAACUAAUCACUUUUUUGAAGUUCUGGUCAAUGAAAAUUUGCUCUUUUUCUGGCGAGCAAUGAAAAUUUGCUCUUUGGAACAGUGGAUGACUUCUUUUUCAUCAUUUCUGUCUUAACUUGCAAGCCUAUAUAAAAUUCAUUUUAAUGGUAUUGUCCAUGGAAAACUGGCAUCUGUGAGCCAUACUGUGAGCAAAUGUUUUUAAAUAAAAAGAUAUGGUAUUUGAGAAAAUAGAUGUACGUAUGAGAAUUGAUGUGCUACAAACAUGGCUAACAGGGCUGUGUUUUUUGAACUCGUCCUCUCUAGGUAUUUAAUAGAUUCCAAAUUGUCCUCUCUAAUUAUUUGAUAGAUUCCGUUUUUUUAAUCACUUGUUUCUAGGAUAAUGUUAUCCCUUCCCUCAAACACAUGGAAGUCAUAUUUGUGAAGGCUGCGCUUGUAGCUACCUCCACCAAGUAAUAGCCUCACGAUUAUGUCCUUGUGACCAUAUGCCACGUUGAAGGGGCCGCAUUUAUCUUCAGAAGAAGUCCGCAUUUCCACUGCGUUUGGGUUUUUGGGGUACUGUUUUGUUUUUCAAAUCUUUUUUUACCAAAACAAAAGUAAACGUGGGGUAAAUAUCAAUCCAGUCAGCACGUCAAUUUUUAUUUUUAAAUUCCGGAAACAUGGAGUCCUUACAAUCCAAGAGCCGCUUAAAGAUCCUUGUCGGAAAACAAACGGGGUUCGCCUUCCAAAAUCCUGGAAAACCACCGUCUCUCCACCCCAUGAUUUUUAAGGUCCGAUAUGUCAUUCCUCGGGAUAUUUCAUCUCAGGAGAUAGUCACGAAAUUUUGGAAGGGCCGGGAUAUAUUUCAUCUCAGCAAACUAACCGGUUUAUGUUUCAGUGUCUGUAAUCCAAUCACCCCCUAAUUCGGAUUCUCCCUUGAUUCAUUUCUUCUUCUCUUUUUUUAUAAGAAUUUGUUCGUUGUUGAUGUUGAGAUUCUUACGUUUGAUCCUUACUCUUCGACAUUUCCAUCACUUUUUUCUUUUAUUUAUAUGUCAAAGUUAACAUAGAGAGCAAUGUGAAGGCCCAUAUCUUAUACAAUUAAAUUUUAUAUAUUUAUCAUCUUUAUCUAAAAUUUUAGAAUUAAUUAAGUAAGCAACAAUAUUCACCUAACCUUCUCUAAUAAUGUAUAAUUUAGGAUUUCUACUUAAAACAUAAUUUUUUGAACUUUUCUCGUAGAAAAUGAUGAUUAUUAAUAUCAUCUCUUAAAAGAAUAUAAAAAUAUUGUAGUUAUCUAAAGAUCUAUACUUUAUCUUUUUUUUAUAGAAUUUUUUUGAUAAAAUUUUAAAAUCUUUUGUCAACUAACUCCCUAGAUAGUUUUAGCCAUACUAAUGAUCGUUAGAUUAUUUGUUCAUAAGCUAAUUAAUUAAAUCGAGACAAUAAAAAAAUCUAUUAUAUUAACAUUAUCUUAAUAUUAUCUAGUUUUUCUAUUUAUUAAAAAAUUUCAGAAUAAAUUUUUUGUCUUUCCACUAACCAUUGCUAGCUCUCUAUCCACUUUUUCCUCUCUUUUUUCACCAAAAAAAAAAGAAUUCAAAUAGAAAUUUUAAUAAAAAACUUGGGCUUUAAAUUAGUGGCUUGAGUUUAGAUUUUAGUUUUACUGCAUGUCAACUUGCUAAUCUUUUUAUUCUUGUUUAUUUAAAUAUCUCAAUUAGAAAGUCUGUUCCAACUCAGACGACACCUCAAAUUGUACCUAUAUCAAUAUCGAGUAACUUUAUGAAUCAUGCUACUUUGCACCCUCAUCAGCCAAUUGUAUAAAUAUUUUGUUUUCUCAUGUAUUUUAGGAAAAAAAACAGUUUACAUAUUUGGGAUGGAGAGGGGAGAUUCUAUGUAUAGCGCAUGGAUGAGUUGCCGAUACGUAUAACGUAUACCGAUACGUAUAAUAUAAGACGAGAUCUCGGAUGACGCGUGGGAAAAACCACUUUCCCGAAUCCAAGCAUCGUCUCUGGCUUUCACUGCUCGCUGUUUCCGCCAGAACCGCGUGCCGCCGUAAGUAGUAUAUUGUUUUAUAAAAACUACCAAUUAAAGAUUAGGGUUUAUUCCCAUCGAAUAUUUCUUCUCCUUCCCAUGUACGUUAAGUCGCCUCCUGGAGCGUAGCUUCCUCGCUGUCUGAUUUCCUUUUCGGACGUUUGGCGGGGAUUGCCUCGGUGGUUCUGUCUGCAGCCCAAUUGCGCCGCAAUGGGUUGGAUUUUCUUGCAUUUUUCUGGGAAUUCUGGAGUUCCAAUUUGAGGUGAUUUGCGAGAUUAGGGUUCUGGUAAUGAAAUUUAUCUUUGCUUCAGGGUUAGCUGAUUUUCUGAUACAAUGUGUUAGUGGAUUAAAAAGUAGGGUUUUCGAUAGAUCUUUCUUUGGGCACAGAGAGAAAUUAAGCCUUUUUGUCUUUUCUUUUGUAUCUGAAUGCGGGAUUCGUUUGCAUCCGUUUGGAUGCUAGAAUUUGAUCGGAGAGGGCAUCUUCAGAAUGAUAUAGAUGGAAAAGAUCGGAUUUUGAUAUAUAUUUCUUCCAAACAUGUACAUUUUAAUUAAUGUAUCACGCGUUCAACAAACCCUCAUUUGCAGUUGUUGUUAAACUACCAACUGCUGGAGUUCUAUCAAUUUAAAUUUAUAUACCUUACAAAUUGUUGUAUCGUAAUGCUUUCUUGGAUUGAAACUUUGGUAUUUUGCAACUUAAUUUAGCAGCUGGAACUAAUUUGAGGAGUUCCCUGGUUGGCAACGUCUGUUCUUCAUUAUAAUAGCCAUUUAUCUUCUGUAUAUAUUUGUCAUUUGAUACUAUGAUAUUCUAAAUUUUUUGUUCAUUUGAUUUUGAAAUUUAUGGUAUUUCAAAAGGCCUGCGGAAGUUUAAUUUGAUCACUGUUUAUUUGAUUGUGCGGUGUUCAUUCAUCUGAGAAUCCGAGAUGUUAUACUUGAUUUGACACUUCAAUAUCUUAUCGGAUGUGGUUAUCCUUUCAAAAAAAGGGAUCAGUUGCAUCCAUUCUGCCAAUUAUUUUGAAAUAUCUGAUUUUGCUUAUAUCAUUGUAAAAUCUGCAGUUAAUGUGGGGAAAUAUUGAAAUCAGAGGGAGAACUUGCUGAUGCCAGGACAAUUUUCAUUUGAACUGCAGUCAAGAUGAACACUUCUUAAUGAUUCAUAUACAGUACAGUGCAUCCCUAAAGGUUAUUUGCUAAACAAUUUGCUUGUUGAUUCUGAGUUUCUUUCUCUUGAGCAUUAUAUGAAACUGAGAUUAGAAUACAAAAGAUGAGCAUGCUCAGUUUUGCAGUUAUAUAUGCACUUAGAUCUAAUCUGUUUCAGGCAAAAGCAGGAUCCAUGCAUAGAUGUUGAAGAUUAUUUGAAUAGAUGGCCUCAAAAUUGAGAACCCUUCUACUAUUUUUGCUUAUAUUUGUUUCACUGCAUGGUUCUACUAUUGCAAAGUCUGAGAAGGAAAUCAUUCAGAGGUCUCAGACAGCUCCAAAUAGGAUCUUAGAAAGUGCACUUAUAGAUGUGACUGGUACAGAGUCUCGAUUUGAGAGCUCCAAAAGUAUUUUUCAAGGGUUUGGUGAGACGGUUGUUAAUAGCAGAGUUUCAGUGUCCACAGUUGCAUGGCUUACUCUUGCCAUGGCUGCAGCAACAGCCUUGGGCGCAAUUCCAUUUUUCUUCGUGGAGUUAGAGCCACAAUGGGCAGGUAUAUGCAAUGGUUUGGCUGCUGGAGUGAUGUUGGCUGCAAGCUUUGACCUAGUGCAGGAAGGACAGGUCUAUGGCAGCGGAAACUGGGUUGUUAUUGGGAUUUUGAGUGGAGCGAUUUUUAUUUGGCUUUGUAAGAAGGUAUUCGAUCUUCUGCUUUCCUCCAUUUUUUUCUUUCUUGCAAUAAUAAAUGAUAUUCCAUAGUGUUCUUCAUGUCAACAAAUGUAAACAUAGGAUUAAGUUUAUUGUUUUACCUUCUCUCUCUCUGUCCGGCUCGCUCUCUUCUCAUAGCUUCUUCAUUGGGCUCUUUUAUUGUUUUUAAUCGGUUUGACUUCUGUGCAUUUAACUCUCAUAAUUCUGUUUUAUCUUUUCUAAUAUAUUUUCUUGUAUUUUACCUAAUUUGAUCACCAUCUCUAUGUCCUUUUGUCUUAUCUUAGUUGAUUCAUAAGUUUGCCACCAAUGUUAAUCAACCCAUAUCAUCAUAAGCUGCAUAAAUAGCUUAGUCAGUCUUUCUAGCUUCCUUGAUUAUUUCAAGUAUAUUUUAAGUACUUAUGUUUUUGGCUAAAAAAAUAUCCUCCUGCAUUUUGUAUGGAAUUGCAAAUACUCUCCUUCAUUUUAAAUUGUUGCAAUGUCAAUCUUAUAUUUUGCACGUUGCUGCAAUGUGGUCCACCCUUCUCCUAAUUCGGAUCAGGGCUUGCGAAAGGUGCCUACUUGUUAGAUGACAUGGAGGUAGUUAUGUGAUGUAGAUUUUUUUUUAAAAAAAGGAGAUGGAAUGUAGCGUGGAUAAACCUCUCCUCCCUUCUUCCCCAAAAUCUAGGGUUUCAGAAACCCUAGUUCGUGGGGGAGGGAGCCAUGUCUUGCCGAAAGCGGCCCAUCGACGAAUCUAAGAGGUUUAGAGUUUCGGGAGGGUCCAGGGACUCAUUAUUCUAUGUUCACUCCUUCAAAAUUGAUGCCCUCUCCCUCAGCUCCGAAUCUAAGAGUUGUGACAUCUCUAGCUCCAACCCAUUGAUCAAAGUAAUGGUCUUCGAGUAUCAUUGCCUUGCAGUCUCACCAUUAUCAGUCCCCUUGAAGUGCCCACCUAGUAGGCCACCUAAAGAAGCCUUGAUAGCACAAGUCGCUGCCUUCUCGCAUGAUCACGAGCGGCGGUUCUCGCGAUAUCUCACUCGCACAUCUCGGAUUGGACAUGACUCAAUGACUUCAUCCACAUUCAGACUAAGACUAGUUGUUGUCCUAGAUUUCGAGCAAAAAUUUCUCUGAGAGGAGAAUUUUAUGGGAGACCAGGGGAGUGGUCUCGGCUGUGGGAAUGGGAAGUGGUGAUGAGUUUUUUAUCAAAAUUGGAGAGGAGAGAUGUUUGGAUACAAUCUAAGUUAGAGUUUGGGAGCUUUAGAGGAUCAAAUUGCAAAGAAUUAUUGGAGUAGAAGGGAUCAAAAAUUUGAUUUUUGAGUGGUUUAUUCAGUUAUACUUUUUCUCACAACAACGAGUUGUACUGAGAGGGCAUCCCUCAAGGCGGCCCUCUGCAACGAGAGGAGAAGAUGGAGUUGAAAGUUGUGAAGGAGAGGAGGCACUCAGAAGAAGUUUCUUGAACAAUAUGGGGAAGUAAGCAUGUUGGACAUAAAAGGUGCUGAUGCAAGUAAAGUUAUACUUGUUGUUGGAAUAAUGACCUUCAUUCUUUUGGGGAGGGUUCGGGGUUGGGGUAUCCUUUGCUGGCUCAAAGGGCUUUCUCAAGGUCUUCUGGUUACCUGGCAAUAGCUGCACAAAUACCUGAAGGCUUAGCUGUAAGCAUGGUUCUAGCAUCUCGAGGGGUCUCUCCUCAGAAUGCGAUGUUGUGGAGUUUCAUUACAUCAUUGCCCCCCCCUAACCACCACCAAAACCCCUACUUGUUCUUCAUCCACUCGUUUUAACAGUAAGCUUUUUUCCUGUAAGAUUGUGUUUUCCAUCAAACUGAAAUUGUGUUAACAUUAUGAAAGCCAGAACCUGAAAAGCCGAGGCUCUUGCACUAUCAUUUCAUAUAUUUUUAAUAAUGACCAAGUAAUUUUAACCUUCAUGCAUUGCCCUUUGGCUCGGGUCAUGGUAUCAAUAGCCCUGUUAUUCAUGAAGUGACCAUUCCCCCAAGAUGUUAUGGACAUAUAUAACAGUUAGAAAGGAUUGCCAUGAUGUUUAUGAAAAUGUAUAACAGGUGAUGCCACCUGAAGCUGGGACCUCUCCCUUGGAGGAACCAUGGAGAGGGACGCCAAACAGCUGAGAUAUGUCCUGUUACAAAACAUCUGCAAUAUCAAAUAAUAGCCACUAUUGACAGUUAGUGCAGUCAUAGCACAUAGAUUAUGGUUGUUAGUAAUAUGGUCGUGCCAACACAAAAGUGCCUCAAAACCAUGAUGAAGUUCAUUAUUUAAAACCAUGAUACAGGGUCAGCUUAACAAUUGCUUCCUUGCUAUUCAUUUUAAACAUGACCAUGCGCUGGUCUUGGGUUGGUGAGUUCACUUCUUUCCAUGACUAAUAAUACAAUUAAACAUUAAUUUGGAAAAUCUAUUUUGCUCCGUUGCUUCUAACAUAUAUCUCUGCAUUUUUUUUUCUAGAUUCCUAUCCUUGAUCCUUUGAUUGAUGAGAUUGUGUCUAUAAAGAACCAAGUUCAAUCAGUUAUGACUAUGUUUUGUUAAUCAUAAGUCAGAUCCUAAGCCAAAUUAAAGUUAAAAUUAGAUUUGUGAAUAUUUAACAGUUUCAUUGCUGUAUAAUAACAACCCCUUGCCCUUCAAAUUUUUGUAUAAUUUGUAUCACAAUUGACAAUAUAAACGAAAUAGCAGGGAGCCCCCCCUCCUCCUCUCAAUUCCGGUGAUGCUUCUUCAUACCCUGGUUGCCCCUCUCUUCCGAAUUCAUAUAUGGGUUUGUUGCUUUGUGAUUGCAUUGCCAGCUUUAAUUGCCCUUGAGGAAACUGGAUUGAGUGGUUAUGCAUGUCAAUCACUUUUUAUCUUCUCAAAUUUGAUUUUUCCAAUUUUAUUUCCUUCCAUUUGAGUGGUUAUACACCUUCAUUCCCCCUCUAUUUGCGAUUUUUCAUACAGAAUGUUGCCCACUGCUCUGGUUCAUAAUAUUGUUGAAAAUAACAUAUGCUUGUGUGCUUCUAAGAGAAGAAACUCCUGUAAUUGUGGACUUGGCCUCUUACUCUUUUAUUUCUGCUCAGAAGCUGCAUAAAAUGUUGUGUCAUGAAACUCGAGUUUGAGAAUAGUUUUGCUGCUUGGGACCACCUAACUAGGUGCCUAACGAGUAAAAAUGUUGCUCAUGUUGAUUAGAAUUCUAUCCUUUGUCUUUGUUGUCACAAGGCCUCUGUCACCUGCCUAUUUUUCCGCUGUCAAUAUGUACAUUUCUUAGUGCUUUGCUAUCAGCAUGACAUGCACAAGAAGCUCUAUCAACACAUAAUGAAGGCCUCCAAUUCCUAAUCAUUCUUAUAAAUGAUAAUUUAUUUAUUAUUUUUCAAUUUUUUUGAACUAAUUUGUAUAUUUUCCCUAAAUCUAGGAUCAUAUGGUUUAUUGUUUUCAGUUUGAGUGAUACAUAUAUCUGAAAAUGCGUUUAAUACAAAGACUUGCAUUUUUCAUCUAUUUCGGUUCCCAAUGGAAUAGAAAAACAUUUAAAGUUGGUGGAUAUGUGAUGACAUGUUGGAAAUUUCUCUGAUGGUUUUUUUCUGUGCUUUUCACAAUAUUCUUACUAAUAGCCAUUUGUCUCUCUUGAUUGUAGCCCAUUGUAGCUGUGCCUUCGUUCCUCUGUGCUGAUGCAUUCCACAAGGUACUUCCUUUUUGUACGGGCUUUGCUGCUGGAUGCAUGAUCUGGAUGGUGAUUGCAGAGGUUCUUCCUGACGCUUUUAAGGUAAUUAACUGAUCAGUCUACUUAUCAUUAUGCCCUAUGUAUAGAAGCAAAUAUAUGCCCAUGCCAAAAUUUUUGCAGAGUUUCAGGAACACCUGCAUUUUGUGAUCAUUGAAAGCUGUUGUGUGCUCUCACCAGAGGAAAAGCAAAUUGCUAAAUGCUACUUAUCUUGCUAUGAUUUACUCGCGUGUUAUCCUUCUUUUCUACCUUUGAGCUAAAUGGGUGAUGAUACUUUUCUCUUUUUUCCAGGAAGCAACUCCUUCUCAAGUUGCUUCUGCAGGCACGCUGGCUGUAGCAUUCAUGGAAACCUUAGGCACAGUCCUCCAAAGUCUUAGCCAUGGCUACAAGUAAGCGUCUGCUGUUCGUCUAUCCGCAAUUUUUAUUUUUAGUAAAUCCAACAUCUAGACUUGAUAUCUUGUCCUUCUCUGCUAUAUGUGAAUGUAUUUUUGCAAGAGCCUCUGGUAAGCUCUAACCAAAAUCUGUUUGAUUUGUGUCGCAGCUCGGAGGAUGCCUCUGGCUUCUUAGUUUCUCUGCUAUUUGGUCUUGGGCCAUUGCUUGGUGGAAUGAUACUUGUUGUUUUUUCUCUUGCCUUCUAUCUCCAACAUUCUCUUCUCACUGGUGUAGCCUCCGGCAUUGCAUUUCUUCUUGCUGCAUGGAGGCCUCUACAGCUUCUUUUGUCUUGGAAGAUGGGGUUCUUUACCCUGACAUUGUUGCUUAUUGCUGGCUCAGCUUUAUCUCACAUGUCCACAGCUAGCAUCUUAAGGGUGGGUCGUCGCAAGGUGUCUGCCAAUGACCUUGCAUCUUCUUGUGGCCUUUCUGUGAGUCCCCUUACUCUUCAGUCAUUCGUGGCAUGCGGGGCCAUCUCCCUUCAUGCCCUGGCAGAGGGGCUUGCUCUAGGUGUGGCAGCCCCGAAGGCUUACGGGCUCGGCCGGCACAUGGUUCUGCCAGUUUCACUACAUGGGCUGCCACGAGGUGCUGCUGUUGCAAGUUGCAUCUUCGGCGCCACUGACAGCUGGCGGGGAGCCUUGGCCGCUGCUGCCUUGACUGGAUUUGCAGGCCCCAUGUCUGCCAUUGGAGCUAUACUCGCUGGUAUUGACUACAGUGGACUUGAUUAUUGGAUGGUCCUUGCAUGUGGCACACUGCUCCCUAGCUUUGGCAGUGUUUUCCAGCGAGCGCUGAAGUUGGAUGCAAGGAAGAGCAUCUACGGGCUCUUGAUGGGGCUCGGAUUUGCCUGCGUGUGUUUAACAUCCACCAGGUUGGUUUGCCUGCACACACCUUACUGCAAUUCAGCACCAGAGGCUGUCACUUAAGUUGCCGACUGAAUUCUUAAUUUGUUCUUGUAUCGUGAGCGCACUUGUGCACAGAUCUUUAUAAGCCACCUGGUUGCCUUGGAAAUCUAUCAGGCUGAAGGGUGAAACCCAGAUGCUUAGAGAGGCUGAAAAUAUUAGGAAGAGAGAGUUAUCAUUAGGUUGAUCAUAAGGGAAAAUAGAAUAGUUAAUAGUGGACAUGAAUUUCUAUACGGUUGGUUUCUGGAAUGAAAAUUUAGGAUGGAUGUUGGAGGAGUGAUGCAUAUACUUGGGCUUUCAUAAUGAUAAUGAUGGGACAUUGAACAUAAAACAAGUUUUCGGUCCUUUUAUCUUCAGUAAAUUCAAUUGAAUGUAAAGAGUGAAUUUCUCUUAUUUGGUGGAAAAUCGCAUUUUGCUGUGCGUAUUGCUGCUUGUGUGUCAGGUGAGUUAUUAUCUGGGUCUGACGACUACAUCUUCUGUUUGGCUGCAGAAUGGCGUACCACAAAACAAUGAGUUAGAAUGGAGUAAACUACCCUUAAACUUUUAAAAUUUUCAUAGGUACCCUGAAGCCAGAGAGGGCUGCAGAUGUAUACUUGAUGGAAUGCGUAUGGUUUAAUAUAAACUAAGCUAUCUCUGUUUGCCCUGCAUAUAAAGUUUAUAUACGAAGGAAAUAAAGCUACACUAGGUCCUAUAAAUCUCAUAUUGUCUUGGUUUCAACAUCCUUUGGUUCCUGAGAACAUUCAUUUUUCAACUUCAAUUGUAUGGACGGAGCAACAAACUUGUUCUGUCACUUAUGCAACGUGAAACAUCGGCCUCCUGACCUAAACUUUCAGGGCUCUCAAACAGGGAAAUUUAUGGUUUUUUUGGAGGAAAGCUGAGAAAGCUAUAUCAUGCUAAUUGCACGGAGCUAUCCUGGUAAAAUGAAAUGAAAGAAGAAAUGAAAUUGGGGAUCAAGAAACUUGGACAAACGUGUGGUAUUUUUCUUACCACGUAAGAUCAUUUUUAGGGCACUUUGCAUCACAUGCAUCUUAUGAUUCUUUUUUUAUUUUAUUUCAACAUGGUUGUAUGUCACAUUUUAUCGGCAUUCAGCCAUUGCAUCCAUACAAUCCUUGUACAUUAAGGUGCCGUUCAGUGAUCCAGAUGAGAUUACUAAGAUAAUUUUAGAUCAAUGAUGACUCUUAUCCUGCUGUAGUCCGAUCUUCGAUAAUUUAAGAACACUACAUUUGGCAUGGUAUGUUUCAGUAAUUAAAGGUCUUUCGGUAUUCAUAAGUAACUUGUUUGGAUAUCCAUAUAAUACCAAAACUAUUCCUAAUAUCUUUCAUAAAAAUAUAUUUAUUAAUUCUAUAAAUUAUUAAUACUAUUAAAAUAGAUUAAUUCUUAUUAUAUAAUUAAUAUUUUUAUUUGUACUUAUCAUAUAUUAUCAUUUUAAUACUAGUAUUUAUUGUGAUUAGAAAAAUAAGAUAAAUAGAAGUAUUAUAUUAAGUAAUUUUAUAAUAUAAAUAUAAAGUGCAAUAAUAUAUUUCUAUUAUAAUUAUUAAACUUAAUUGAAUAAUAUGACAAUAAUAUGGUUAAUGAUAUAUUAUAAUACAAUAUAUAUCGUAAAUACUAUAUAAAUAAUACCAAUCUUGUACAAUAUAUAAUUAUAAUAUAUAUUUUUCAUUAAAUUUGGAGCAUUCUUAUUCUCAAAUUUCAAGCCAAGAUCGUUGCCUUGAGGUAAUCUUGAAUAGCAGUCCUCAAGAAUAAAUUUGGCAUUACCAUUUACUAUGUUGGACCGGAUUUAGGAUUACUACUAUAUAGAAUUACCAGAUGUAAAAUAUAAUAAUCUAGUUAUUUUCACCUGCAUCAUCUUUGAUCUUGGGUCAUCAUCUAAUACUAACCGCUGGGCAAAAGCUGCAAGUCCUCUAUUUGCGCCCACUGUGAGUUUACUGGUCGGCAGUCUCGGUGUCCAUUUGGUGUAGAGUGCGUUGCUGCAGAGCGGCUUACGAUUCUUUCUCAAACGUAACAUGGGAGGCGUCCAGUUAUAUUACUUUUAUUUUCACCAAGAGUAUCAAAUAAAAAAUAACUUUGCUCUCCAGAAAUGCCUUUAAUUUCCAUAACUACAUGAAACUAGGUUUAACCAGUUUGAUUUAUAAAUUUUAAUUCGCCAAUCAUUCUUAGAGAAAACACGCUUCAACAUUUUCCUUAGAAAAAAGAUGUAACAACACAGGAUCUCACCCAAAAUGGCUAGCCGGAAGAUAUUGUUUGGGUUCUUUGAUUCUGUAUAANNNNNNNNNNNNNNNNNNNNNNNNNNNNNNNNNNNNNNNNNNNNNNNNNNNNNNNNNNNNNNNNNNNNNNNNNNNNNNNNNNNNNNNNNNNNNNNNNNNNNNNNNNNNNNNNNNNNNNNNNNNNNNNNNNNNNNNNNNNNNNNNNNNNNNNNNNNNNNNNNNNNNNNNNNNNNNNNNNNNNNNNNNNNNNNNNNNNNNNNNNNNNNNNNNNNNNNNNNNNNNNNNNNNNNNNNNNNNNNNNNNNNNNNNNNNNNNNNNNNNNNNNNNNNNNNNNNNNNNNNNNNNNNNNNNNAAAUGGCUAGCUGGAAAGUAUUAUUUGGGUUCAUUAAUCCUGUAUAAGUACCCAAUAUCUACCCAGUGAAUAAUCGAUUUGGGACUAAACACACGCCUGCACAGGUUCUCACAUACUCCCUCCGUUCAAGCCCCAACAUCCUCGUCAGGUUAAUUCAUAUCUAAUCACAAACACUACGAUUGGUCCGUAGUCAGCCCCGAUGAAUCCGUGCUGCAGUGUUCCCUAGUCCACAUAGGUUAUGGGCCGGGUCCGCUCUGAUGUCAUUUGUAACAAUCCAGAAUCUCACCUAAAAUGGCUAGCCGAAAGGUAUUAUUUGGGUUUCUUGAUUCUGUAUAAGUAUUCAAGAUCUAUCCAGCGAAUAAUCAAUGUGGGACUAAAUACAUAUCUGCACGGGUUCUCACAAAAGGAAUAUGUAAUCUUAACAUUAUCUGCUCUAUGUUUUUAUCCAUUCAAACUUUUGCAGGUGUCGGUAUUCGCAAGCCGAUUCGGCGUCACAUGCACGCGUCAUAGCAGGAAGCCUGCACGUGUCUUCCAACACCCCAAACCUCUUGCAAGCUCAGGAUAAACGGCGAAGAUGACGUAUAGGCUCGUUUGAUUUGUAAAAAAUAUUUUUGUUUAGAAAUAUAAUUUUUUAAAAAAUAUUUGCAAAAGCAUUUUUGGCAUGGUUGAGAUUUGACAAUAAAGAAGCGGUGAAUUUUUAAGGUGCUGGUGGGCCAUUUAUUUUUUUCGAACUAAUAAAAGAAAAAACAAACAAACAAAAAAGAGAGAAGACGAUAUAUAGCGAGCGAAAGCGGAGGUUUCACGCCACCGGAAAAACAGGCUAGGGUUCCCAAUUCGACCUCUCCGUUACUUUUUAGCUGCGAGCGAGCGAGCGAGCGAGAGAUGAAGAUUUAUCACAUCCCUUGCUUGGAGGACAACUAUGCCUACCUGUAAUAGUUUUAUCCCUGCCAAUCACUUCUCCUUUAUCCUUCUCUAAACCCUAAUUAAACCCUUGUUCUUCUGUCUCUGUCGUUCUCUGCUUUUAACUAGACUAGAUUUCGUAAAGCUGACUCCUUCUAUCUCGCCGAAAUGGCAGAAUCGUGGACGAGAGCACGAAGGAAGCGGCCGCCGUCGAUCCCGUGGAGCCCAAGAAGAUCAUCAAGUGCGCCAAGGAGAUCGGCGCCGAUCUCAAGCUCGUCCUCACCACUCAUCAUCACUGGUUUUCCUUCUUCUCGCCCGAUACGUUUUUAAACUUCGAAUUUGGUUUUUCUUUCAGUUGGAGAAAACCUUGAAAUAAAUUACUUGAAUUGCUUGUUGGAAAUGAUUCUGAAUCUGCCUUUUAACAAACAAGUCGAGUUGAUUAGACUAAUCUUUAUUUUUCUUGGCGAAAAGAUUGGAUCUUUGGGCCUUCGUCGUUUCUGGAAAUGAUUUAAAUUUGGGAUUUUAUAUGUUUCCUGUGAUGCUGAGUGUGCUUCUGAUAACAAAAGGUUGGUUUCUUCUUACUGCGAGUUGGUUUUAUCUGGGAUAGGGAUCAUUCCGGUGGAAAUGAGGAGAUUAAAAAGCUGGUGCCAGAGAUUAAGGUCUUUGGUGGGACAAUAGACAAUGUUAAAGGGUGCACAAAUAAGGUUGAGAAUGGGGACAAAUUUACUCUCGGGGCGGAUAUUAACAUACUGUCCCUCCACACGCCAUGGUAUGUCGUUGCCUUCUUGUGAUUAGUUAUUAUGCUGGACUCUUUGGCAAUUGGAUUUGUGGUGAUUAUUAUUUGGUUACUGUAGAUGGUGCACUUUCUUAUAAUGGUCUGGAAUGUUGUAACUUCUAAGGAAGAAUGUGAAUACUAGAAUUACUGAUUUAAUGCAUUGUUAUUAUGAUACACAACAUACCGGUCAAUAAAGUAUGCUUUGAUUUGAGCAAUAAACUGAUUCACAGUUUCUAUAAUUUUCUUUGCCAGUUGAAUAGAAUUCACAUAACACAUGAAGCAUUCUUAGGUUGAUUUGAUGUAAAUAUUGAAAAUGAGUUCUAUGAAAACAAAGUCAAUAUGGAGCUAGAUGUAGCUAUGGAGAUAGGCCUUCAUUUGGUUGCUGCAUCAGUAUCUGUGUAUAUAUUUGAUACUAGUAUGUUACAAAACAAAGCUGAUGGUUUAACUAAUCAAAAAUUCAUGAGAAAGACUGAAAUGACAAGAGGUUGGUCAGAACCUUUUCUUUUAUAACAUUAUGCAACAUGGUGGAGGAGUAGGGAGAAUGAUAGGCUAAACUUCGUUCUCCAGACCAUUAUGAGUCCCCCUCUCCUCUUUUUUUGUUUUUGUUGUUUUCACCGUUGCCGCUGCUACCUCCAUCGCCAUUGCUGCUGCUGCGGCCGCCUAUGUCAUAGCCACAACUACCACUGCAACUGCCGCCACCUUCAUCAUUGCGACAUCGCUGCCACUCCUGCUGACAUUACUGCUGUCGCCGCACCUCCAUCAUCAUCGCCACCAUUGCCAAAUGUAGGAAGAGAGGUUUGUUCUUGAGAAAUUUUUUUAUCUACAAAAAUAAAAAUGAUUCAUUGCAAAAAUCUUGCUUAUGCUCUUGAAAAUUUAAAAAUAAAAUCAAAACAUAAUUUGUCUUUUCUAAUUUUAGAAAUAGAAACCUCUGAUAAGGGUUAGAAGAGAGGUUGGUUCUCAAGAAAUGUUUUGUGUACAAAAAUAAAAAUGGUUCAUUCCAGCAAACAAAAAAAAAAAAAAAAAAAAAAAAAAAAAAAAAAAAAAAAAAAAAAAAAAAAAAAAAAAAAAAAAAAAAAAAAAAAAAAAUACUUAUGUUUUUGUAUUUUUUUUUAAAAAAAAGUAAAAGCAUAAUUUCUGUUUUCUUAUUUUAAAAAUAAGAAAGUGAAAUUUAUGCCACCCACAAACUAAAUUAUUUAUUACUCUAAUAACCAAAACUUAACCAAUAAAGCGUAUUACAAUUCUAAAACAUUCAUUAGAUUACAACUCCAUGUAUAUUUCAUGCAUGUUCAUUGGGCAUAUGAUUAUAGAAUUCAGAUCACCUUUUGUAUCCUGCUAUCAGAAGGAAAAGCAUUUUUCCCUUAUUUACUUUAUAUUAAUAGGUAAUCAUGAGUUUUUGAUACUUGUCGUAAGUUGAUAUGAGGAGAUGGCAAAGCUCGAAAAACUAUAAGAUAUUUAAGUUAUUCGUCUAAAUUAUCAACUUCUUAUUCUAGUAUCUUCUUUUUCCUUGCUUUAUCUGUAGUUCUGUACCCUGUGCGUUCUAGCACCUUUAUUAAAAAAAAUUAAGCCGAGGCUGUUGUUUUUCAGUGUAACAGUUGCUAUGUAUAGAUAAUUAUUGGGUUAAUGUUAUGCUUGUUUGCUUCCAUCAGCCACACUAAAGGACACAUAAGCUAUUAUGUGACCGGCAAAGAGGAGGAAGAUCCAGCUGUGUUUACUGGGGACACAUUGGUGAGCGGAGAUAUUUUUGCAGAUGCAUUUCAUAAUAGAGUGUUUUUAACAUUUUUACUGACUGAUUGUGGCAUUCUUUUUCAUUCUCUUUUUCUUCUGCAGUUUAUUGCUGGCUGUGGAAGGUUUUUUGAAGGUACUGCAGAUCAGAUGUACCAAUCAUUAUGUGUAACAUUGGCUUCAUUACCAAAGCCAACUCGAGUUUACUGUGGCCAUGAGGUAUAUCUUCUAAUUAUUUGAUGUUUGUUUGAUUACUAAUCAUGAAAAUGGGGCCACACUAUAAUUAGAACCGAUCCCAAAUAGCUAUGCUAAGGGCAGUUGGUUUUUUUUUCUUUUUCUUUUUCUGGGUUAUAAUUAAGAAAGAAGAGGUCAAGGUUUCUUGGUCUUUUGCAUAACGUUUAAACAUGUCAGGCUAGAAUGUUAUUUUCUUAAUUGUGCCUGUACCGCAUAAGAUCACCUUGCUUCUAGAAUCUACUUAAGAGAAUGUCAUUGUAAAAUUUUAUUUAUAAUGGACUACUCCAGAUUGUCAUUGCUCAUUUACCUCCAAUUGAUAGAUUCAAUUCUCUGUUUCAGUUGCAGCAAAUACUUUAAAAUCUUUUUAUUAGAUCUUAGAAAUAUUGGGGAUGAAUUAUUAACUUUGUUAAUAUGUUUAUUUAUCACAAUGUGAUACUUGUGUAGAAGCUUUGGCAUAUUUAUCCUAAUUGGUUGCUUCAACUGUGAUCUGAUUUCAGCAGGUUUUUCGAUCAUUUGCCUAUGAAUUACUUGCUUUUUCAUUUGCAUGAGAUAUACAUUAAUACUUGCGUGACAGUGACUUGUGAACAUGGUCUUGCAGCUGAUGAAUAUAGGUAAUGUAACAAUGGUAAAAAUAUCCCACUAAUCUUAGUAUGAGAUGAUUUAAUGAAAUGUAGAAAUGGAACAGUGGCCUUGUAUACAAUGGUAAACGGUUGUCACUUGUCAGUGUAUUAAAGUACAAGCUACAUUGCAAGAAGUUGUGGUGGAAUGCAAGCUAGAGCUCCAUUCCCUGAACAGCCAGCAUGCAAAUACCAUGCACUACACCCAUAAGCAUUUACUUGGUGCUAGAGAGAGCACGUCAUCGUGAUUAUUGGACUUGAUAGUAGGAGAGCACAUCAAUAUAUAAUCAGGAUAUCUAAAUUGAUUGUCAUAACUAAUGAGAAAUUUUGUCAUUUUAAGCUGUAAUUUACAUUUUUGUAUUCAUUUGUGAAUGUGCUGGGCAAAUGAUUGACAUGCCAUUUUUUUGCCAGUACACAGUAAACAACUUGCGGUUUGCAUUAACAGUUGAGCCAGAGAAUGAGAAGAUAAAGCAAAAGCUCUCAUGGGCCCAGCAUCAGCGUCAGGCAAACCUACCAACCAUUCCUUCAACCAUUGGGGAAGAGCUUGAGACAAACCCCUUCAUGCGUGUCGAUGUAGCAGAGAUACAGGUCUUAAGCAUUACAUUUAUGGUUUUCAAUUACACACUGUUACAAAAUAAAAUUUAGAUAUUGACCUCCAUUAUUAAUAUCUUAAUGCAUACGGUAUUGAAUGCCGCAAUCUAGAUGUGAUUUGGGAAUUGUAUGUAAAGAAGUUGGCCUAACUGUUGCUUCAGCCAUCUAAUAUCUUCGCUUCCAAGCCAACAAUCUUUGGAUUGACGUUGGCCUAUGAAUCACAUAGUAGAUACUGCAGAAUUCAGUGUUCCAACAAUAGUGACACCUGAUAUUGAAGGAGGCAUUUGAUGAAGUUGAACGGUAAAGUACACCGCAGAAGUUCAUGUGCUUUGUAGCAUGUAAAUUUGAAUUUUAAGUAUUUAGGUCAAUUUUCUUUGAAACCAAAGGGGUGGUAUGGCUUUUGGAGAUCUUUUAGAGUUCCCACCAUUUACAAGACUUUAUUCCUCCAGUUUUUCCAGACUUCUUGCCAACAAAUUGCCAUUGUAAAGUACAACCAGUUUUUAUAGGUCUUCAUUCUGCUUCAGAACCUGUUAUCCUAAUGGUUGAUUUUGCAAUGGCUUAUGCCAUUAGUUUCCUUCUUGGAGGUCAAGUUGCAUGCCGUUACUGAAAUCUACUGAAGAACAUAGCAAUUAAUCAUUCAGCUUCUCUUUUUUCCAAAUUCCUUGAUGACUCUGAAGAAAGAUUAACUCUGUCUAUGCUUUGCAGGCAAAAGUUGGCUGUCAUUCUCCAGUUGAAGCCAUAAAAGAAAUAAGGAGGCUGAAAGAUAAUUGGAGAGGCUGAUGAAAAUUUGGGGCUCCUGAGCUUUUUAAUUUAGUGUUUACACUUUGGCUUGGGCAAAAACAACAUGUAUUCUAAAUGAGUGUUCGUAUGUCUUCAUGUGGCAACCAGACUUGAAAGGCUCAGGUUGAAGUUUGAAGGCUGUUGCCAUCCUAAAUGGUCAUGUGAUAACUACCUCGUGUUUUGAUGAUCUGUAGGGAUACGGGUUGCCAGCUUUCAGGGGAUAUAAUGUGUCCAAACCUUGCUUUUCUAUAAUAAUCAGUUUAUAUCGUUCAUAUAUUAUCACAAAUUAUUCAUGUCCUAUUGGUGCUGUGCUAAUAAUUAUUCAUUAAAUGGCUAUCGAUUAACAAUUAAUAGUGGUAUUUAUUGAUUUGAGUCAUUCACUUAUCCAGUUAUCCAUCCUCGGUUUGCAUGGAAUUGGAAUAUGAAUAUUUUACAUCCUCUAUUGCCUUGUUAUGCUCUGAGUUGUGGACUAAAAAGCAGGGAGACAUAUUAAACAUUCAUGUUCUUUUUUAAUUAUGGAGAAAAUUUUUACAUUGGAUAUCCAGGGAGUGAGAAACGGACAAGUUGGUUUAUAUUUAGACCCACUCUCUCAUUGGUCAGGUUCUUGAGUAGUAGAUUUGUUGAGAUCCUUCCCUUAGAGGGUCAGGUUGGGUGUACAAGGCUUCUUUCAAUAAUCACAUAGGGGGCUAAGUAGGCUUGAAUUAAGUUCUCUUUUCUAGCAAUUCAACUUAAAUCUCUGCAGUUAUCAUCUUUAACCCUUGUCAUAAACUGGUGUUAAUGUCUACGUUUUUACUAAAUGCAGGCUCGUUUUCCAGCUUUAGCAAAAAGGAAUUCAGGCGAUCAAACUGCCUAGGUAAAGGAGAUAGAUUUUUUUUUUUUUUGCAGGUAACAAUGUCCCUAUAAAGUAUAAAGCAUUGGAUCAAGCAAUCUCCCAAGGAGGCCAAUCAUAGUUUCUCUAUCUUCAUAAUUAAUUGAUUACAAUGCAAGCUGCCAAAGCCUUCAUGUGUGCUAUUUGAGCUGUCUUUGUAACAAGAUACUGCUCCCUGUCCAUCGUUUUAUUGAUAUAUCCUUUCUUGCCUAGAUAGAAGCAUAGAUCAACUAUCAAUAUUUUUUUAUUAGAACACAUUAUAAAGAUUCCUCUAAUUUUAAAAAAAAAAUUACUUACAAUCUAUGACUUAACAUAACAUAAGUCAAAUUAUUGAUUUUAAAUAAAAAUUUGAAUAUCAUAUAAAAAAAUUAAAAUGACCAAAACAAUCUCGAGUGACAAUGAUUAUUCAAGAAUAUAAAAAAAAAUAUGUAUUUUCCUCUUUUUCUCAAAAGCAAUCCUAGUUUUUUAAGUGAGAUAAAUAGUCUUACUAAUGAUGUUAGUUAAAUUAGAUAUUAGCAUAGAUUUUAUGGAUUAAUAGAUACAUAAUAAAUAUAAAUUAAAAAAAUAUUAUUUAUUUAUUAAUUUAUUUAUGUAUUUAUUUUGUUGUGGAGCCUUCACUCAUAUCUGUAAACAAAAUCUUGCAGUCGCUUCGAGCAAACGCGAGGACACUAGAUAGGACGUGACUUUGGAUUUCGAAGGAAAUCUGUUCAAGAGCGCUUGAAGUGGCAUUUCCGCUAGCCCUUAUGGAACCACGGGGCACCAUAUAUAUAUUUUUUUUUUUUGCAACGGCGGCUCACAUCCUACGGAUAUGAAUACGGCCUACAAAAUCAGAAGCAAGUAAAUCUAAAAAAGACUCCGGCACAGUAUCGGGCUCCCGCACAAUAAAACCACCAGAAUGGUGAGCCACAUAGGAAGAGGCCCAAUCGGCCCAUAAUUCACGUGGCACCAACUUCCCAAUUCCACCGCAAAUAGUACCAGCUUCUGUUUCUCUAUUUACAAAAGAGCCCUCAAUAUGAUUCACAUUUUACCUGUAUACCCCUCGUUUAGACCGAGGGCUUAUUCCUCCUUCCACGACGUACUCCUUGCAGUCGAUGGAUCUCUCUCGCUUGACCCCCUAAGUUUUGACUAAAAUUAAGAUCAGAUGGCGAAAUUGUUCUGGUUGGAGGCCGUUCUUCCUCUUGGAAUCAUCGCCGGAAUGCUUUGCGUGAUGGGCAACGCGCAGUAUUACAUCCACAAAGCCGCUCAUGGAAGAGUUAGAUCAAUAUCAUUCUUUUACCUUUGUUUUUUCUUUUAAUCUGUGGAUAUAUAUAUUUUUGUUUUAUUUUAACUGGAAUUUUAAAAAAAAUCCAGCCAAAGCACAUUGGGAACGAUAUGUGGGAUGAGGCUAUGGAGAGGAGGGACAGGAAGAUCGUGGAGCACUACUCCGCUGCCGGGAAUUAGGUCGGCUCCGGCCAAUAGGUUUGUUAUCUUCUGUCAUUUCCUUGAUCGGUUUAUUGGUAUUAAAAUUCUCGGAUUAGGGUUUGGAUUGGCUGGGCAUCGUUGUGGCGUGUUUUGUUUUGAUGAAUGUUGAGAUUAGGUUCUGUUUGAUGGAGUUUUUUAUGUGAAAAUUCUGGGUUUGGUUGGUGGAAACCGCUCCUGAUGUUGGGGUUUAGUCGUUAUUGAUGAGUGGAUAAUUGUCUGACCUCUUUCCCCUUUGUAAUAAUCCCAUUUGUUGUCUUCCAUUGUAUUUUCUUAUUUUUAUUCACGACUACUUUUGAUUUCUAAUAAAGUUGCUUGGCAUUAUUCUUCUCAAAAAAUUUGGUUUGCGCUAUGCACAAGUAUAUUCGUUUUUGGAAUCGUUAAAUGUCAUGCUGAAGUUGAUCACAUGGUUCUUCUUUUUUUUUUCUUGAGUAGAAGCUCUUGUGAUUUGUUGAGGGAUUUUCGAUAUAUGAUUAGGGAUGAUCUAGACUAAGUUAUAAACUAUAUUCGUAGUGGAAAGAUUUAUUCUACAUUGCUGGGCUCUAUCUUGUAAUUGAUAAUGAGAAUAGUUUGACAAGGCUGAAGAACUUAAAAAGGUCACAUGCAGAUGUUCAUGGGAGUAUCUUGAGUUAGGGCAUUAGAAAACUCCCUCAUGAUACAAUCUGGUCCAUUUCUAUGUACACGGAGAUUAAAGCAGUGGGAAGUCCUCAUGAAGAAGAUGGCUUUGCUUCCAUGUAAUAGUUUGUGGCCAAGGAGGAGGAUUGUGUUGGGUGAUGCACUGGAACAUGGGAAUGGAAGAAGAGAUUUAAUCAUUUGUUAGAUAAUGGUCGUAAACCAUCAUAUCUGCUGAGUGUGAUGACUUUGAAUGAGUAGAAGUGAGAGGUGGUCAUGUAGAUAUGCUUGGUAGUUUAAUGGGAUUGCGAGUACAUAUUUUGGCCUUUUGGAUUAAGGGAGGGUGUUCAAUUCAGUGGUAUCCUUGCUUGUUACCAUUCAUGGCCAGGUAUAAGAGUGGCGCAGGAUCUGUAAUUUCUUCUAUGAUGCUUGGAAUAAUUUGUUACUCUCAUCCAAAUCAGACUUGGAUUGGUUGAAAACGAGGGAAAUUUCUCUUCCUCAUUUUUGGAUGUUGCAGAUUUCCUCAUAAGGUAUUUUUUUCAUCUUAUCAUUUCUAGUUGGAUGGCUGUAAUGUCAAGUAAUACCACAAAAGUAAGGCUAAUCCAAAUCAUGGCAAUUCUCUCCUUUUUUUGAAUGUAGACAAAGGAUUUUCCAGAAAUCAUGUGCAGCAGGAGGUUCUAUUCUACAAAAUUUUAUAACAAGUGAAAUAGCAAAAAGGUGUUACUAAUCUAUCCAUCUUUAUGUUCUAUAUGCAAAAUAGAAAAAAUAAAUAAAAAAAGUAUAAUAUAAAUUGUAUUGGGUUAACCUAUCCAAGUUCUGAUAUCAAGGAAAAAAGAGAAAAAAAAUUGUUGUUAUGUCCUUUUCAGGUUGGAUUGGAUGAAGUCAUAAACUAAUCGGCUUUCUAGAUGAAACUUGUAUGUUCCAGAUGUUAAUGCAGGGUUCGGAGAAUUUAGGAAAUCAACGAGAAUUUUUGAAGGUUGAUGCAAUUCUAGAACUUUGCUAAGGAUUUUAAGUUAAGCUAUUCCAUCCCCUAACAUUGAUAUGUGGAUGAUGUUCUUCCUGCUCAUAAGAUGAUGUUCAGGGACUAAUAAACAAGAAAGAGCUGGAGAAGGAUUCAGAGGCUCAAUGUUCUGAGGGGAAAAUUCCUUGUUUCAUCCUGACCCAUCAUUUGACCAGUUGUCACGAGAUGGGCAAGAAGAUUCAAAAUGAAGUGAAUUUCCUAAUUUGAUACAACCUUCUUCGUGCAUCUGAGAGAAUUUAUUUGGAAAUUUUGCACCUAUACGGAGUCCUCAUGCGGUGGUUAAGCUCUUGCCCAUCGAUGGCCUUUCUUGAAUUACUAUGCGUAGUAGACAUACUUGACCUUAUUUAAAAUAAAAUGUAUUUAAGAAAGUUGUUAAGUUGCAGUCAGUGACUAUUCCAACUUGGCGUAGCCUUUAGAAUAGAUUGAUGACACUCUGAAAUUGAAGGUUCAGAUCAAUUGGUGCAACUACCGCUGUGUCAGAUGAGAGAAGUCUUAACUUUGUGAUGGAUAUGUAAGAGUAGAAACUGAAGGUAGAAUGUGGAUUUUCUUAUUGAUUAGUGUUGGCAUUAGAUACACACAAGUAUUCCUGCAGACGCUUAUCGACUUACCUUAUUUUCUUUUUUAAGUUUACAUCAUUUUUCUCUGGAUGCAUCAUGAGGUCACUGGAUACACCACAAGUAUACUCAUGGUUGCACAUUGGUUUUGCACUCUUUAGCAUUUAUUUUGUGGCUUUGGUUGUUGUUUGUGAUUUUUUAUACUCACAGAUUCCCCUGGGAAGGUAUGAGACAGAUUCAAUCAUAUCCAUGCAAAAUAACAGCCUAUAGGGUUUUUAUGAUAUAUUAAAAAAAUACAUCAGGUCUAAUAUGAUGUGUCUAAGCAAAUAUGGUAUUACAUGUUUAAGAAGGCAUGCCCUCUUGUGAGUUGCAACUAUAUGCAGCCUUGUACAUGUCCAUGCACAAUCUAGAUCUUCAUAUAUACGAUUAAUUAUUUAAUUCAUGCAUAAUCAGUCACAAUAUAGUAACCAUAAAAGUCCAAGUCAUUUGGAGUGUGAAUUUUCAUUUGCAUGGUGUUGAAAACUGCAGUUAUUUAUUGUGUGUUUAAAUACUAUCGAUAUUUGAAAACUAUAGCUGGGCAUUUUUAAAUUUGGUUCCUCUGGUGCAGAUUAUGGCAUAUUGAUGGAACAGUCAUCUUUGUUGGAAAUAAUGUUCCUUGAAACUUGGAGACAAUAUGCUUUCCGGUUUCUUGGACCAUAUCUCUUUUUCAUAUCCUUGUCCCUUAUGCAUUUCAGGAGCCUCUCAAAUAUGAUAUGCAAGAUCUGUACACCUUUGUUUGGAUGUUCGAGAUGUUGUUAAUCGAGUACUGACCUUUCUUUUCAAGAUAAAGAGAAAGAACUGGUUUAUGGCUACAAUGAAUGGAUUUAAUUUGUUUUAUUUCUGAUCUCUAAAUUCUGAAAAUGUCCACACUUGGGAAGCAUGUUCAGGAUAAUAGAAGUAAGAUCUGUAGUUACAUAUGUGUAUAUCCUGUAGGCUUUGCGUUUGUGAUAUGGUCUGGUUUAUGGGGUAUGGCUGCACAUUUAUGUAUGCUUUUGUUAAAGCCUUUGCCUGGUAGCAUCCCAGUUCUCUAAUAUUCUAACAUAUCUCAGUCAUAUCAGAAUGCCACGUAAAAUAUGCACCGUACUUAUGCUUCAAUUCAAAGCUUCAGAGCACUUGAUCCUUGAAAUUUUAAAUACAUAACAACCUUUUUAAGAAACUAAUUUGGUUAAAAGAUUGAUAGCUGAAAAUCACUUGUAAUUACUUGCAAGUGAAUAUACAUCCCAAGGAUUUUCCAGAAAACACUGAAUAAAUGCUUAUAUAGCAGAAACUAGGUAAAGCAUGUAAAACAUAUGUCCAACUAUACAAAAAAAAAAAAAGAAUCAGUUCUUGCUACAUGGCAUUCUGCACUGAAACCUUUGCAAAGAAUGAAGCUGAAACAAAUGAUAAACAAAAAUUAGAAGAAAAAAAUAGAGUGCAAAAUUAAAUCAAAUGCCAAGAUGUAAUGGGCAUUACAAUGGUUCUCUGCAUAGAUUCAAGAUUGCGAGAUCCUCUGGCUUAUCCCUUCCAAAAGACGCCCAAUUCAUGAUGCUCCACCCCUGAAUCAAAGGCACAUACUCAUCCUCAAGCCCCCCUGGCCGAGUCCUCAUCCCAAUCGCCACCGGCGCUCGAGCACUCCCCACCUGUGCCAUCUCCAAUGCCUCCCCCACCUCGGCGUCGCUUUCCAUCCGUUCCACCUUUCUCCGCCUGUAACUUUCCACCAAUGCCACAAAGAAAGUCAGUGAAACCAACCCCAUGAAACCUCCCAUCACUGCUCCAAUAAUCUUCCAUGCCACAGAUUCAUCACUCUUACCUCCCUCGAAGCUCAACCGUCGGCUCGGCACCGGAGAAGGAGCAACUCUACAAGAAUUAACAACAAUAGAGAAAUGCCCCUGCCUGUACGAGCAAAGAUUGCUCCCCACCAAGUCUCUAUACUCCAACGAGCUAUCUAAAUUAAACCAGACACCUAGCCGUCCUUCCAUUUGGCACCGCCUUCGCAGUACUGAAUCUGAUGGAAAUGGCCGACUUCGAUGCCACGAGGUCGAGCUCCGGCAGAUUGCUGGCCGAAAUGUUCUCGGCAUUGUAAGCCAAAAAUCCAAUCACAAAAGUGAGAUAGCUGUAGCCUGGUGGAAGAGAACAAUAGAUUGAAGACCGGUUGCCCAAGUUGUGAUAAACCAAAGCAAGCCUUCGAACGUAAGGCUGGACAAUGACUCCAUUUGGGAUCUCGAACUCCUUGUAUCUCUUGAAUCCUCUAUUCCUAAAGCUUCCAUUCCUGAGCCUCAAAACAGCAAUCUUAACGCCGGAGACGUUCGACGGCGCAAUGCCGACGUAGGGGACGCCGGUGUGGGGUUGGUCGAAAGCUCGGUAGGCGUAGUCUUGGAGGACGGAAUGCAAGGCCCUGGCUGGGGUUGGUGAACUGUUGGCUGGCUGGGCUUUGAGCUGGUGACUGGAGAGAAGGCUGAUGACAGCGAGAAGGAUCAUGGAGCAUUGAAUGAACUCCAUUGUUAGGUUUCUUAAAAUACCAGCAUUGCUUUGUUAGGCUCCACCGAAGCAAUGUUUUGGAGGAUUUGGACUCAGAUAUAUGUUGAGUACUACCAUAUCUAAAAAGAUAAAAGCUUGGAUUCGGGGGGAGUCCCAAACUGUCAGGAUUUCGAUACAGUGGUUUUUUUGUUUUGUCAGGAUUUACUUGGCGUUGGAUCUUAGAAGGUUUAAUGGUCACGAUUCCAACGGGAGUUGGCCAUUUUUUUAUUUUCUUUUAGCUUCUUCGUUCUCUUUCUCGUAACGUCUGAAUUCCAUCAGGGACCGUUUGAGGGUUUUGGGAGUGCCAGGGCUUGUGGGAAGUCUCCAUCACGACCAUGCGAUCACGGUUCGCUGUCAUGGGGCCAUAAGUGGGAUGGAAACUGGGCCUCCUCCACUGUAACCCGGAAAGGAUAGAAUGGAUUUUUCUCCUUUAUUUAAAGCAGAAAUUAUUCUAAAUUUCUAAUGCCGGUUGACAUUUUGUGAUGCCUUUAUUUAUUUUACCUUCUUAUGAAGUAUUUAAGUUGAAAAAUGGUUAGGUUACGUUUGGAUUCUGCAAAUAACUUAUAGAUGCACCGUCGCAAAAUUGGUUGUCUGGUCCACUUGAUGGUCCUCUAGAUUAAAAUUAAUAAUAAUAAUAAUAAAAUGGUUGUCUGGUCAUGUUCAAUCUAUUAGAUAUUUAGAUGGUCCAUUAGAUCAGCUUGCAUUGCAGCUCUAGAAUGCAGCCAGCUCUUUUACGUAAUGAAGUAAACUUUAUCUUAAAAAAAUAUUGGCCAUCCAUUUUGUAGCUCUUCUAGUUCACAUCUCUGACCCUUCAGAGAAACUGCUACCUCACCCUCUCAAAGCACAUAAUGUUGCUCUGGUACAUGCCAAUUUUAAUAAGCUGCAAUUGAUUUGUGCAUCACAACAGCUUCCUCCCGAGAUCAUAUUUACUUUUGAGUUGAGUCAGCUACUAGCUGAGUGCUACACUCCCAUGGGAUCAAUAGCUACUUUCUAUGUGCUUAGCUAUCUUUCUCCAUUGCAAUCUUGCAGCAUCCUAUAUAGGUCUUUCUUUUUCAAUAUAAUUCGUUUCGCAAUGGAGUCGAUUUAGGCCUUUACAUGUUGCAUGUCAAACAUAUUAAUAAGAAGGAAUCCAGCAUUCGACAAAAAUAAAAUGAAAUUAAGCUUUACUAGCUGACAACCUGCCAUGAUUUCUAUUAACUAUAGAUGAAAGUGGAUUAGCUAUUGCUAGCUAACAAAAAUAAUAAUUUUAUUAACUAUUAAACUCUGAAUUAUCCAACCUGCCAUGAGGUGGAUUGUCAAUAUCUUAAGAUGCAUAUUGUCAUGUUCAAAAUGGCUACCAAGCAUCUGAAGGAAUAGGUUUUAGAGCAUGUGCAGUUAGUGAGAACUCAUACCGAAGGUGUUCAAAAUGACAUUAUCCAACCACUUCCAACUUAGAUAGCAUACCGCAUUUGAUGCUACCGCCGAUAAUUAAAAUUAAAACUCCUAUGUUUGUCGUCAGCUUAAUGAGAGAAAAAAAUGAAGCUAACUAGAUGACCCAAUGAUGAGGAAAUCUCGUUCUCAUUUUCAUCAUACUCAAAAGCAUCCAUUGGAGCAGCUGCUCAAUAUCGAAAGCACGCAAUAGAAAAUUUGCUAACUAGUGAUUGCAGUCAUCUUUCUCCGUUGACAAUGGAGAGUGGCUCAGAUGAGAUGGGAACUGCAAGGUUAGAUAAAAGUCCAAGAAAGUUUGGGAGGCAUUUGAAACAUAUAAAUUUUUUAAAUACAAAUAUUGUAAUGCUUGUAAUGUGAACAACGUAUCAUCGUAGUGGCCGUGCUCCUUAAUCUAAUACCUGAAGAUUUUAGAUUUAAUUCUCUAUGGUGCACCACAGAGCAUCUCAACCUAACUAAUUAUAAUAUUGGAUGGGUCUCCCUUUUCCUCUCUUAAAAAAAUUAUAACGGAAUGCGACAUAUUCCAGCAACUAUAGAUUUACAUAGAGAUAAGAUAGAGAGAGUUGAUGACAGAUAAUAUCAUCAACAACAAAACAUUCUCCUACGAAGGAAAGAGAAAUCACUAAGAAACAUUUUGUAGUUGAGUUGUAAGUAUUUCAUGUAAAUAAAUCGCGAGAGUUUUGAAUCAGUGAAUGAUCCGUGAACAUUGUGGAAAGAUAAUUAAUUUGUAAAAAAAGUAAUAUAGACAGAUAAAUAUAUUUCAAGAAUUAUGCGAUAAGGCAAUUUUUUUUCCAACUUCGAGUGAAAAUUAAUUGAUCUCGGUAUAUACCAAUUUUCUAUAGCUUUUCAUGUCCGUUUGACUUACACAGCAGAAAAUGCAUUGAAAAAUCAUAGGAUGGAGGUUUGUUGCUACUGAGGACUGGCCUGCCCUAGGAAUCGAGCAAAAGAGAUACUGGAGGACUCGGUGGUGAGCUGUUUGGUCCGUGCAAGGCUGUAACUCGGAGUGGAUGGUUGUAUCCAUGGUCCUAGUCCAUGACUGAGCUCCGACCUGAAAUAGCAAAAAUGAAGAAGUCUUCUUGCAAGAGUGUGUCCAACGGCGGACCCUCCGAUGCCAAGUCAGGAUGAUACUUAGGAAACAAAAGAUGUUCUCAAUGGUCUGUCAAAGCACCCAAGCACUUACCUGUAAAGUUUUCUGAAGAGUGGAUUGUAUAGGCGCAUAUGAGCACCUGUUACCCUAAAAUUCAAGCAUGUGAGUCAGUUAAGAUCGGCAAACCUUUGUACGUUCCGAGAAUCAGGCACGGGUGUUUCGUAUGUGGAUUCCAUCCUGUCCUUUUGGCUGGUGUGAUUUCAGAGGCCGCUCGAGAUUUCAAUCGAAGGUGUCGCCAACUGGAGCGAGUUUUUGAAAUUCAAAAUCAACCACGCGCUUCUAGGCUUGCCACAUAAUGGGUUUUAGUUGGUAAUUCAGAGGCUUCGUGGCAGAAUUUGAUUGGCCGGCCCUUUGUACAAGUUGUGGUCGGUUCUGAGAUAUAUCGGGGUCCAAUCCCUAACAUGACAUGCCACAAAAUCAGAUUGUAACACUAAUAUAGACAACAAGUAUCUACCACCCAAGCUACAAGUUAAGUUAGGUCAAGACUUGGGACUCUGAAUCCUACUAAGACCAAAAAGGAGGUAAACAUUUCAGAGCUCAGAAUUCUUCACUUGUUCCAAAAGAGAAGUAGGACCUCCACCCUCUCCCACGCGUAAAUAUUGAGUUCAUGGGUCCUUCAGGCGAGCAUCAAGACCAUUGACGUGUUGCUUGUCUCGAACCACCGCAGCUUAGAGAAAUCCAUGGUCCAUUAGAACCCAAUGAACCAUGUAAUCCGGAGAGCUUUCUCUUGAAUACAUUACAUGCAAUGGUCCCAAUGGAUGAUUAAAUUAUAUGUGCACAUACUUAAAACAAUAUUUUUAUCUUGGGCCAUUGAUAAAUAUCCUGCCGGCAUUUAGCCGUUCAUUGCAAAGUAAGGAAGCAUGUAGCAAGAUUCCAAAAGUGCUUGUAAGGUCCAAUCGCACCAUUGACUUGGAGCUAUUACUUAUUAGCAAGUAGUUCAGGGCAGAGAAAAAUAAAGCCCUUCUCUGUUUCUCUGUUUUCUUUCAUCCUGCGCAAGUUUCGGCCAAAAACAGUACCUUGGAUACCGUAAUUCAUGCAGCGGAAAACUGGCGAACCGGUCACCGAGUUGUGGUCUGAGAACAUUAUUUACUACCUCUCUCAAAGCUCCGUUGAACUGAUGGAACAAAAAUCAUAGCAGGUGGACUUUCUAUUUCACCGUUUUUUUUCUGCUGCCGAUCUUUAAAUAAGCAAUCUAAAGAUCAAAAGCUUUUUUUAUUAAUAGAGUUUCUAACUUUGUGAUUAAAAAAAAACUGGAAUCUUCUUUCUUCCUUAUUUUUAACAUAUAUAUUUUAUCAGUACAAUAACAAGGACCGGAUGAUGUACGAUAAAUAAAUGAACCAUCUAAAAAGUCAGCACACAUCUCUAAAUAUAUCGAUACAUAGUUUUCAAACUAUAAUGCUCACUAUAUACAAUACACGACCAGAUAAUACAUACUUAACAAAUUAGUCAUCCAAUAAUCCAAUACAUCUCUCCAAACAAAUUGAUACAUAGUGUCUUAAAUAUCAUAUUCAUCAGUAUACACUACAUGGUAGGAUGAUACACAUUUAUCGACUUUCUGAUAUAUAUUAUAAGUAUGUUUAAUAUACACCCGGCAAUGAUCCAAUAUACAACUCAAGAUAAAUUGAUAUACAGUUUACAGAAUAUGGUGUUCAUCAGUAGCAAAUAUCGAAAAAAAGAGUGAUUUGAAGGAGGAUAAAGAGACUCGGAAUGGAGAAGGAAAACCUUGCAAACAGAAAAGAUGGCUUGAUAAGAAAAAUAAUGAAUAGAGAGACUUGAUUAAGAAGCAAGAGGAUGUCGCGAGCAAUUUUCUUUCUUCGUUUGUUCUUUGUUUCUUUAAUCAUGGAACUGGUGACUUUACUAGUAAGAAAAGUUCCUAAUCUUUGGAUUUCUUCUUUAAGAUGGGCAUUAGAAAAAACGUGACAAAAUAGAAAGCUUGUCCCAUAUUCCUUUCUCUGGUGCCUACCCUAUAUAAAUUUUGUUCAAACUGGUGGGGACUCCUUUUUUGAGUUAUAAAAACCCUGCUAAUCUUCCUUGAUCAAUGAAUUAGGGUUUAUCCAAAUGGUUGUAACUCCUAGUUUAAUUACUUAGCCCCAGGUAUUCUAUUAAAAAAAAUCUAUUUAAAUCUAGAUAUUUAUACUCCCUCACUUUCUUUGUAAAAGUACUUGUCCAUCUUUUGUCGAUAUACAAGAAAUUAAAAUACAUUUCAACAGAGUGCACAGAUAUGAAAGAUAUAUCGUUGAACAGCAUAGUUUUGUGAGGCUGUUGCUCAAAAAUUUAUAAGGCUAUUUGGGAUGUAAUAGAAAUAUUCAUUUCCUUUUUCUUAACAUUUUGAUUCUCUACAUCGAAAUAUCUUUUGUGAUAUUUUAUACUGAAUUGGUUUUGUUCUCCUCGAGACCAAUUCUAAGAUCUGGAGUAAGAUACAUAUGUCUAGGUUUAUAAGCUUAUUUGGAGCAUUGUAAACUACACCCUUAAUGAGCGAAGAAAUCCCUCAAACCAGUUGAUUACUCACAAGAUAUAUUUCCUAUAUACAUGUGGUAGUUCCAAUAUAUAGACAAGCCUAAAUCAUAAAAAAAUGAUCUAUAAGAUUGAAUUAAAAAGGAUCAUAAUUCACUGAAAAAAAGGAUCAUAAUCCAAGGUUAAACUCCAAAAGCCAAAACCUCGAGAAAUAUUCCUACAAGUAGAUUACACUAAAACUUUGACAACAUGAGGUAUUGGAACUACCAAUGACCACAAAUAUGCACAACAUGCAACUGACUUAUUACAAAGGAAAAUAUAUUAAUUUGCCAAAUUUGUAACCAUCAACCGCGGAAUUGUAAACGAAGUGCAUCUUACCCACUUACACAUAUUUAACUAAUUUCUUAUUUUUUUUUUGAUAUAACGGUAACUCACACCAUACGUACAGGAGUACACCCAUAAAAGUUAAAAAGAAGAAUUCGAUUGAGAGGGGAAGAAGUAGACUCGAGAUUCUUCCAAUAGAACUCUUCUGAAUAGUGUGCAGCAAAGGAGGCAACCUAGUUAGUAGUAUUGUUCGCCUUCCGAUAAACAUGAGUGGCUCGAAAAGCUACGGACCUUUCUAUGAGCUCACAUAUAUCCUAUAGUAGCGGAUGUCUGUCAACACUUUUCUGAGUCGAUCACUGUCGCAACAUCACCUUCAAGAUGGAUACAAUCCGCUCUCACAAUUAUAAUACCCUUCAAUGCAGCUUUCAACUCUGCACCACUGACAGACUCAUCAAAAAUAUGCCAUUCUCCUACUGCAAUAAGUCGAAAAUCAUGAUCUUUAAUCACAUAGUCCACUUCAUCUCGGCCUCCCUUCUUAAAGAUACUGCUGUCAAAAUUUUCGUGGAUUAUAGACGGUUGAUUUGUAGGAGAGUCGGCCAAUCCACCGACAUCAACAGUCUCAUAAAAUAAGCGAGGCUGCCUGGCCGUACAUACAGCCAAUCAUAGCCGCUAAUUCAUAGAGAUAUAUGUUCGAUGAAUGGGCCGUGCGCGGAAGCAAUAAUUUCUCGUCUGGUAUUGGAUAUCCAUCUAAGGCUUGAUUUAUGAUUGUCUUUAUUUUUAUGGUAAGGAAACAUAGAUAAAUAAUGAUAGCAGAAAUAUACCAUAAAUGUGCAUAUUAAUUAUGUUGUCUUGAGUCUCACGUUCCCCCUCUCUCCUCAUACGGUGAGAAAGGAAAGGAAAAGGAAAUGGUCAGCCAUUAGGUAGAAAAGGAAGCACCAUCUUUUAUAGAGAAAGAAUAAAAGAAAAAAAAGGAGGGGGCGAUAGGGAGAGAUCAAAACAUAAAGCCGCGGAGAGAGAUGUUACAGAGACAAAAUCACGGAGCAAGAGCCAGAGAUCGCGAAUCUUCUUUUCCGGCCCCUUUAUUUUUAGCCCCAAGAACUGCUCGUUCCUCGCAAUAAAUUUUUCCCCUGAGCUCCGACUCCUCCUCCUCCUCCUCCUCCUCCUCCUCUUCUUCUUCUUCUUACAAUCUCUCUCACUACGACCUGGCGGAACAAACGAUUCUCUUCUUGGGUUCGGGUUUCCGGCUCCCAUUUUUGGAUCUUUCUCUGCGUUGAGUUCCUCGUAUCCGACCAAUCUGCCGUCGUAGAAUUUUGGAGGGUUUCUUGGUCGGAUUUGGGCUCCGAUUGAUGGAAUCAUCCGGCGGGAGCUCCGAUCCUUACAGGAGCCAGAGCGCCGGCAGCGGUGGGGGCAGCGGAGGUUCUUCGAGGCGGUAUGGAGUUCACUUCUCGGCCUCCAAUUUCAUCCAGGCGCCGCUGUCCGCGCUUUUGGAGUAUUCUGGGAUUUUACGGCCGAGAUCGAGUCACCACGAGAACGAGAGCUUGAUCAGUGGAGCGAUCGGCAGUGGCUUGCGAGACCGUGUUUCCGGCCGGCUUGAUGAUCCUGCUGUCGCAGGCACUGGCGGCGAUGGUGAGGUCUCGAUAAGGAUCAUUGGCGUCGGGGAUCAGGAGACUUUGAGGGCGGGUUCCGGCCAGCCGCAAGCACUGGCUGUCGGUCCGGGUAGAGAGGGGAAUUCCAGUGGUAAUGGUGUUAGUUCUGAGACAAUUCCGACUGUCUCUGAGAGGCAGGGAGGUGAUGGUGGGGUUGGAGAGGUGACUUCGUCAUCGUCCUCUUCUCUUCCAUCAUCAAUCUCUGCGGCUGGUCCUCAGAGCACGGAAGGUGAGGCGAACGUUACAGGAGGUAGCAACAGGGAUUCUUCGUACCAAAGAUACGACAUGCAGCAGAUUGCAAGAUGGAUUGAGCAGAUUUUGCCAUUCUCGUUGCUUCUGUUGGUGGUGUUCAUCAGACAGCAUUUUCAGGGUAUAUGUUUCUUAAUCUUUGCUUUUAAUUCAGAAGCAGCUUUUCAGUUAUAUUUACACAAAAAAGAUCUCUGGGAUAUGUUGCACGAAGAUUGUAGUUUUUGAUGUCAUAGUGGUGCUAAAUUUGCAUAAUCUUAGGAGUUCGUUCACUAAAUGUAUAAACUCUUAUGUCCCCCCAAGCAUGCAUUAUCAUCACUAUAAAGUUGUCGAUACAUGCACUGCUUAUGAUCUCAACAAAUUAUGAUGGUAUGCUCUUGAACUUCUGGGAAAAUUCUCCAGGAUUAUUGGACUGGGUAAUUUUGGGUUCAUGGUGGAAUUGCUUAAAAACUACUGGGCUUUGUCAAAUUUAUAUAGCUGGUUAUUAGCGAUGCUUGAUAUGAGAUAAGGGGUGACUUGUCACUGAAAGCUUUUCUCCCUUAUCUUCUCACACAUCUGCUGCUUCUCCACUUCCUGGUCUCAAAUUCUCUUCUGCGGCUGCUCCUGUUUAGAACUACUAAGAUUUUGACACAACUUUGAAAUGGUAAAACUGUUUUACUAUUCUUUUAUAUAUUUGUUCAAAUCAACAUUUUUUUGAACAAAUAGUCUGUUUUACAAUUAAGACGGGAUGUUUAAUAUUGUUUAACUCUGAGUUGUCUGUAGCCUUUUAUUAUUCCUUGGAUGCUAUAAUAUGCACUUUUUUAUAUAUGCGUGGAUGUUUGUGAGCUACAAUAAAGGGACGACCAUCUCUUUCUUAAUCCUGCUUUACUUAUACUAUAGUGGUUACUGUGCGUGAAAAUUUGGAUAUCUUUUCACUUCCAAAUCAUCAUAUGAUGGUGAUAUGCAUGUAAUUUUAAUUCUUUUUUUUCCUGUUCCUAUUUUUAAAUUUAUAACCUUCACCAGCGGACCUACAGGUUUCUUGGUCACGAUUUGGAUUGCUGUUGUGAUGUUCAAGUCUAAUGAUAUAUUACGGAAACAGACUGCUCUAAAGGUUUGUUAACUUUGAUGUUAAAUUUCCUUUUCCAGUUAAAGAUAUGUACCAAUUCCACUCCUCUGCAACUUUAUAAAUGCCAUUCUAUUAUUUUUCUGAGUGUGCUUGUAUAAACUUUAACAGUUUAUCUAGAGGAAUAUCCGAUUUGUUUUCUGGUUAAACCAAAUUUUCUUUUUCUAGAAAAACCAAAACAAAGCAAUGUAAGAUCUCCGUCCCCUUUGCUCUCUCCUCUCUUUGCAAUGAUAUCAUAAAUUAUUGGGCAUAGCAAAAUGUUUCUCUGGUAUUAUACUCUCACCCUUCUCCUGAAGCCAUAUGGCCACCCUAUAAGCAUGAAAACUAGUUCUCGUGCAUCAUUACUUUUGGAAUAUUUUCAUACCAUGAAGAUCGUUUUUUAGGCAAUUAACCAGUGAGGUCCUGGGUUUUGUAGGAAGCUCUUGUAUUUUGAAUCAGUAUUCAAACCCCUUUGGGCUGCCAUUUAUUUGGCUCUUCGGCUAAUUUGUGCCUUUGAAACGAACACAGCUUUUUAUAUUAAAAGUUGUCUUCUCCUUUCAUACAAGUCAUUCUUUUGCCUAAAGUUUCUCUGGCCCAAAAUGUGGCACCAAUUUCUAGAGUGUUCGUGUCAGUAGUUAACUGGUUUUAUAACCUGUUCAAUCUAUGGAGCCUUUCCAUCUCUCAGUCAUGCUUUGUAGUUGAUCCCAUAUUUAAUGGGAAAAGGCUUUGGUACUGGUGGCGAUGAUGAUAUUUAAACCCCAUGUCAUAGGCAAGGCUAAGAAGUUAAGAAAAAUGUAAAGAAAGAAAUUCACUACCGUAUCUGUUUAUAUCUCAUAUUCCUUGGUAAAGGAAGGUUGGGAAAUGUUGGUAUGAUGAACAUAGCUUACAAUCCUCAAAUUUCACGCCUAUUAUGCUAAACUAAGUUUCUAUGAAGUAUAUGAAGGCAAGGGACAGUAUCAGGUAUUAAAAUGAGAGAACAGUUCUGGACAUUUUAGGAAGCACAAACCCCUAUUAAGGUUUAAUCUGUAGGUUUAAUCUUGCAGGUUAAUUUCUUUUUGUUUCUGAACAAGCUUAUCAUCAACUAGUUUCAACUGGAGAAAGAAAUAAGCAGUGGCUUGAGAAUGAUGUCAGUGGAGUUAUGGUAACAGUAGCUAUGGAUGAGCUGGUCUGGGAGUGUAAACCCAAGGAUAUGGUACUCAGCAAUGCUGAAGAAUUGCCUCUCUAGGCUCGGGAAAGGGUUGGAGGGACUUUUUGAAAGGAAUACAGCUAUGGCCAUUUCUAAAUCCUUCUAGGAUCCUCAAUUAUUCUCCAUGGAUCACACAAGGAACCAUUCCUCUAGUCAUUGACACUUUUGAAUCUAACUGCUGUAUGUUCUACUUCACCCAACUAUUUACCAAAUGUUUACAGCCAUUGUUGUACAGAAGACCGAGUCACGCCCCUUGGUCUUUGGCUUGUAUUCUAAUCAAGGUUCGCCUUCUUAGUAUCAUACCCCAUAUCGGUGCCACACUAGUACUAUAUUGGUACGGUACAAAAUAUUUUCGGUGCACCAAAUGCCGGUAUGCCUUCCGUACCGAGUACCGGUACCGAACUGGUAUGGUACGGUACGCUCCGUGCCGUCCGGUUUGGGCUAGUAUAGCGAACCAUGAUUCCAAUGCUUCUCACUUCCUUAUUACGACUCAAGGCUGAUGCUUUUAGAAAUCACUUAAAUGCAUUAUGACUGGAAAGGAUUACGGGGUUACUGUGUCUCUGUUGUGUAGGCUUUUGUCAGAUGGUGUAGUGCAUGUUUUUGGUGACAUUGACAUAUCUCUAUUUUUUUUCCUUGCUUGGACCCAGCUACUACUUGUUUCUGGAUAACGCACUAAUGAAAUUAUGCUAAAUGAAUUAUCCUAUGUAAUGAGAUGUCACAUUAUUAUUGUUUGUUGCUUUCUGCAGGGAGAGAGGAAAAUCUCUGUGCUUGUUGGGAUUACAUUAGUUUUCGUGAUUCAUGUGUUUGGAGUCUAUUGGUGGUACAGGAAUGAUGACAUUCUGUACCCAUUGGUCAUGCUUCCUCCAAAGGAAAUACCACCUUUUUGGCACGCAAUUUUCAUCAUUAUGGUGAACGGUAUGUACUUUAAUGUUAUAUAUGACUAUUUACAUGCUUUGAUAGUUUUGAUUUCUGAAAAUAUUUCAUGAAUAAAAUUGGCUCGAAAAAAUUGAGUUUACAUUUAGAUAUUGCCCUGCGGAUUUUAGUUGCUUCCAAGUUAAAUCAUCUAUUCAUUGAAAUGAUCAACUGAUCCUUUCAAGAUAGAUCAGGUAUACCUGAUCUGAAUCCAAUUCUGUUGAAGGCUGAGCCUUCAUCCAUUCUAACUAGGAUUUCACCGAUCCAGUCUGGAUUAGAUGAUUCCUGUUUUGAAACAGCAAGUUUUAAACACUGGCCUUUGUUUGGCAGAGAUAUGCUAUCUAUUCAUUGUAAACAUUAUUUGAACCGAACACACAAGAAUUAUAUCAUUUUAUAUCAAAACUUCUUUCUAAAGUUUGUUGCUUUCUUGUCAGUCUCACAAUUUAAGAUUACUAUUUUAGGAUCAAGUAGUUUAUAACUGCACCUAUUAGUGGUUUAGUUACAUUCAUGUGAUUCCUUGUUUGUUGCAACUUCCCAGAUACUAUGGUGCGCCAGGCAGCUAUGGUUGUUAAGUGUGUGCUGCUCAUGUACUACAAAAACAGCAGGGGCCGUAACUAUCGUAAGCAGGUAAUCUUGUUAUUCUUAUGUCUCUAAUUAUACUUAUUUAAAUGUCUCUAGGAUUGUUUGAAGCAGUUUCUUAUGAGAUUUAGAUGGUGAACUUGAAAUUUAAGUAGUGGCAAUUUUGAGUAGUUAUUAGAUGGAAUCAUGGAGCAAAUAAGAACUGUUAUACUUUGCUUGCAUGGACACCAGAAUGGACUUUUAUGAACUUUUCAUUUAAUUUGAGGGCAAUAAAUGUAGUUAGAAUUGCAGGAGGCUGUCAUAUUUCAACCAUUUAGCCAAUAUUUGUACAAUAAGUUUAUAUCGUGUGGUUUCUUCAAGGAACUAAGAGGAUUGGUCCAGCUGGUCAGCUUGGUCUGGUUUGGCAUCUGGGGUCAGAUAUGUUGGUGUGUUGGUUAUGGAAAGGUAACUAGAGUUGAGGUUGUUGAGUGGUAUUGGUGUUUCCAUAUCCGAAGGUUUGGAAGGGUUUUAACAAGGGUUGCUAUAACUUGGUUGGGUUGUAAUGUUUAGUAUAUAUAGAGUAGAAAUGGCUGCGACUUUGUGAUUGAUUCUUGGACUAUAUUAGUUUAGGAGGCAGUCUUGAAAGGUGGUAAUGGUAAACCUUGAUGAAUUGGAAGCUCAUUAGGUGAUAACUAGUGGAGCCAACCUCUUAUUCUUACCAUAACAAAAAUAUUAAGCUGAGUAUCUGCAGCCACAGGGAUAGGAAAAUUUGAGUAACAGUAAUUAGUAUAUCUCAAUGAAAAGGGAAACAAGCUCAUGCCUUGUGUGAGGUAAUAAUUGCAUACUUCUGCCGACCUUGUAUUACAGUUUCCAGUGUGGACUGGCUCGUCCUCAUGUUAAAAAAUAUUUACGAAGCUCGUUGUCAUCCACAUGUGGAAUUUGUUCUGACUGUUAUUCUCCUUCAUGAGUAUAAGAAACACAUUGAAACAUCUUAUUUAGAAAAUCUUUGUUGUUAUUGCUUGUGAAAUGUUAAAUAUUUACUCUUUCCCUUCAACAGCUUCAAGAAAUGUAUUGGGGAUUUAUUUUCUGCAAAUAUACAGCACAUUUAUUUAGAUAUCUGGAGUGGGUUAAGUCCAUAAUACAGAGCAUCUAUUCCAUGGAUGCUUCAUGUAUAUUAUCCAAUUAGGCUCCCUGCAGUAGCUGGUUCUAAGAAUAUAGUUUGCAAUUUUUUGAUGUUCAGAUUAUAGAUGUUGUUUACUUGCAAAAGUACUUGAUUAUGCAUCAACGAAUACUCAUCAUGAUAGGCACAUGCAAGAAUAUUGAGAAAAAGUCAUUUUGUUUGGGUGGGAAUUGAUAGAAGUAUUCCCUUUUACCAAGACUCAAUCAUGUUGGAAAAGUGUGGCCUUUUAUCAUUUACCAACUUUCAGAUGACAUACUAUUAAAGGUAGGCAUGCUAGACACUCCCACCUGUUAUAUGGUUAUCUUUACUCUCUAAAACAUCAAAAUAAAAGAAAAGAUUGCUUGGAUCUGUGUAUUUCACAUAAUAAUUUUUGAGUGUAGUCCACAAAAAAAGGGACUCUUUGUGGUCUUGCUUACUCAACAGUCAAUUAUUGAUCCAUUGGCAAGUUGUUAUUUGCAUCUAAGAAAGUAAGAAAACUGAAACAGGCGUGCCAAGAUGCGUUAUUUCAAAAUCUUUAAUAAGUUACCACAACCACUUUAGAUAAACAAGAUAAUAAUAACUGUCUCUAUCAUCCUUUAUGCCGUUGACUUUUUUUUAUUUGAAUAAAAUUGUCCCCGGUAAGGAAAAAUGCAGACCACAGGUAUAAUUCCUAAUGAAAGGAUUAAUAGCCUUCAUGUUUACUAUAAUACAUGAACAACAGGGCUCAGCUUGUUAUAUUUUUGUUGUUUCCAAUAUUCUGAAUCCUUUUUUAUCUAAUCGGAAUUUUUCUUAUCUCAAUGACAUGGUCUGAGCUUAAUACUGUUUUCUGCCAGUCUGAUAUCUAGAUAGAGGCUUGUCAAUGACCAUGGCAUAGGAAACCCUGUAAAUUGUGAUUUUUCUGCCUUUUUUUUAUCUAAUUGGAAUUUUUAUUUUACUGAAAGCUCGAUUUGAAUAUAAUUUGGAUUCGUUUUUGAAAAUUUUUAACAGUUGAUGGUAAGCAAAUUUAUUGGGUUUCUUCAAAAAAAUUUCAGGGUCAGAUGCUCACAGUUGUGGAGUAUCUAUUGCUUUUGUACCGUGCUUUGUUGCCAACUCCAGUUUGGUACCGAUUCUUUCUAAACAAAGAAUAUGGUAGCCUCUUUUCAUCUCUUACCACAGGGCUCUAUCUUACAUUCAAGCUGACAUCAGUUGUUGAGAAGGUAUAUUUUUUUUCUGGUUUUUAUUCUUUUCUGUUGAAAUUUAAAGAUCUUUUUCUACUUCUCCAAACUUUUGAACCAAGUUUCCAGGAUGACGCCAUGGUUUCACCUUCAUAGCCAGUAAAGAAAUGAGGAGGGAAUUUCUUUUUACAUUCAUUUAGGCUGUGAUUUUGCAGGUUCAGUCAUUCUUUGCGGCACUGAAGGCAUUGUCACGCAAAGAAGUGCAUUAUGGGUCUUAUGCAACAACAGAACAGGUAAACUGUUGAAUUUGCUUGUACUCUACCUUGGAAAACCUUUUCAUUUUUCAGAGUUUUUGGAACAGAGUUUCCACUCUGGUCUACACUAUUUUAGUUGUCCCAUCAUCUAAACAGCUGGAAAAUUCAACUUUUUCAAAAACAUCAGUUCCCCAAAACCUUUCCUAAGCAACCAAACAUACCCUAAGAGCAACAUUGAGUUAAGGAUAUGCUAAUCCAUUUCCUUAGCUUUCAAUCAUGUUUUCAUUGUCUUGUAUCUCAUACUACUCGGACCAGUUUAUCUUGAGUCUGAGCCCCUCUCUCAUCAAGCUUCCUCUUCUUGUUGUUGCAAACGAAAACCUUACCUGAAAUUAUACUGUCAUUUUGUCCUCUUGUCAAUGCAACUGAAAGCAUAUUUAGGUGCACUCUUUUCAGUUUUAUCCUUUGUCUUACCACAUCUACCCCAACAUGAUCUUCCUAUGCUCAAUGAGCAUGCCUGUGUCCUUUCUAUAUAGCCCAAUGAUGCAAUACUUUGAAGUAUCAUCAAAUGUUGAUUGAAAAAAAAAACAGCUUCAGUUAUCUAUGUAACUCAAAAGGUGAUUUCCCCCUUCAGAGUUUGCAACUAUGUCCUGCUAUAGAUGAAAAGAAAACAUAGAACAUAAAUGUUGAUUAAAACAAACUACCCACAGCUGUCGGCCAUCAUACUCACGCCUUUUCCAUUCUACAUGUCCUUGGAGUUUUCUUACCCAUGCAAAUCCAAAGGUUGCAAACAUGCUCUUAAAGCAUUUAUUCUCUUGUUGGCAUUUCCGGAUCUCAUUUUUGGUUAUUGUAUUGUUGCUUAUUUUUUCUCCUAGAAAUAUCAUGUUAUUUUAGAUUAAUAAAUCAAAGUGUUUAAUAUGUUCCGGGAUUUCUAUUGAAAACCUAUGCAAUGCAUUAAGGGAUGUCAAGGAAUUUUUACUGUCUUUUAAAAGUGAGCUGUGGUGUCUUCAAAGGUGAACAUGCUAGGCCCUUAACUCAUGUUUGAGCAACUCACUUUCCCAGAGAAGUUAGGGGUACAAUGGUUAUUUGCCACCUACGAAGAGCAAACACUGUUAAUACUUCUCAAAUCAAGAGGAUAGGUCUCAUUUAACUCAUGCACACAGUAAUAAGUGGACUGCAAAUGCCUGCCAUUCUUUUAUCUAAAGUAUUUUAUGCAUGGAUUGAGGUAGUUUGUGCUAGUCCCUCGCCGAACUAGAAUGGAAUCAUGCAUACCACGCUAUGUCAUGCCAUGUUGCGCCGGUACUUGGCAUCGUACCUAGCUUGCUGUCCGUAUGCUUCGAUGAACAGUCUAAUCCAUCAUACUAGGUAGCAAGUGCUUGUUUAGUUUGUCUGUCUGGAGGACAUGGUAAGAUUGAAGAGGUUUGUAUUACUGCCCCUGCAUACCUGUCAUGUUCAUAACUUUGCUACUCAUUACUCUUGAAUAUCAUGAAAAGCAUCGAAAUGAAGAAAUGGAUGACCAGUGAACUCUUGCUGCAAAGAUGGCCUGAAAACAUUGUGAAUGUUAGAGAUUAGUUUUGUUUUUUGAUAGAGAUCUGCCAAUUGAGAGUUUGGAAAAAAGGAAUUUUCAUACUUGAGAUCAUAUUUGUGUUGUUAUCGACUGGAACUUCAGAAUAAUCAUAAUCAUUGAGCCAAUCAUAAAAAAAUGUAAAAACUUAUGAAAUGAAUCAAAAUCUAAAAUUCAGAUUUCAUUAAAUUUUAUCACUGAUUAAGGAGUUAUAGCCUCUCUGUACCUUGGCUGGCAAAACCCUGAGCUGCAGCUUAGCUGUUCUUGCUGUUGAGGAGGAUUAAUUAUUAUUGUUGUUGUCGAUGCUGAUGUUGUCUUGGAUGUUUUUAGGGGGUUGAGGGACUUCUGGGUUUGAACUUGAGAACUAGCGAUAUGCAUUAACAUGUGAUGAAAUUAAUGCAGGUUGUUGCAGCCGGUGAUCUGUGUGCUAUCUGCCAGGAGAAGAUGCAUGCUCCCAUUCUGCUUCGCUGUAAACACAUAUUCUGUGAAGAUUGUGUUUCUGAAUGGUAGCAUACCUGAGCUCUACCAUUUCCUUUCUGCUUUGUCCAAUUCUCUCUCUCUCUCUNNNNNNNNNNNNNNNNNNNNNNNNNNNNNNNNNNNNNNNNNNNNNNNNNNNNNNNNNNNNNNNNNNNNNNNNNNNNNNNNNNNNNNNNNNNNNNNNNNNNNNNNNNNNNNNNNNNNNNNNNNNNNNNNNNNNNNNNNNNNNNNNNNNNNNNNNNNNNNNNNNNNNNNNNNNNNNNNNNNNNNNNNNNNNNNNNNNNNNNNNNNNNNNNNNNNNNNNNNNNNNNNNNNNNNNNNNNNNNNNNNNNNNNNNNNNNNNNNNNNNNNNNNNNNNNNNNNNNNNNNNNNNNNNNNNNNNNNNNNNNNNNNNNNNNNNNNNNNNNNNNNNNNNNNNNNNNNNNNNNNNNNNNNNNNNNNNNNNNNNNNNNNNNNNNNNNNNNNNNNNNNNNNNNNNNNNNNNNNNNNNNNNNNNNNNNNNNNNNNNNNNNNNNNNNNNNNNNNNNNNNNNNNNNNNNNNNNNNNNNNNNNNNNNNNNNNNNNNNNNNNNNNNNNNNNNNNNNNNNNNNNNNNNNNNNNNNNNNNNNNNNNNNNNNNNNNNNNNNNNNNNNNNNNNNNNNNNNNNNNNNNNNNNNNNNNNNNNNNNNNNNNNNNNNNNNNNNNNNNNNNNNNNNNNNNNNNNNNNNNNNNNNNNNNNNNNNNNNNNNNNNNNNNNNNNNNNNNNNNNNNNNNNNNNNNNNNNNNNNNNNNNNNNNNNNNNNNNNNNNNNNNNNNNNNNNNNNNNNNNNNNNNNNNNNNNNNNNNNNNNNNNNNNNNNNNNNNNNNNNNNNNNNNNNNNNNNNNNNNNNNNNNNNNNNNNNNNNNNNNNNNNNNNNNNNNNNNNNNNNNNNNNNNNNNNNNNNNNNNNNNNNNNNNNNNNNNNNNNNNNNNNNNNNNNNNNNNNNNNNNNNNNNNNNNNNNNNNNNNNNNNNNNNNNNNNNNNNNNNNNNNNNNNNNNNNNNNNNNNNNNNNNNNNNNNNNNNNNNNNNNNNNNNNNNNNNNNNNNNNNNNNNNNNNNNNNNNNNNNNNNNNNNNNNNNNNNNNNNNNNNNNNNNNNNNNNNNNNNNNNNNNNNNNNNNNNNNNNNNNNNNNNNNNNNNNNNNNNNNNNNNNNNNNNNNNNNNNNNNNNNNNNNNNNNNNNNNNNNNNNNNNNNNNNNNNNNNNNNNNNNNNNNNNNNNNNNNNNNNNNNNNNNNNNNNNNNNNNNNNNNNNNNNNNNNNNNNNNNNNNNNNNNNNNNNNNNNNNNNNNNNNNNNNNNNNNNNNNNNNNNNNNNNNNNNNNNNNNNNNNNNNNNNNNNNNNNNNNNNNNNNNNNNNNNNNNNNNNNNNNNNNNNNNNNNNNNNNNNNNNNNNNNNNNNNNNNNNNNNNNNNNNNNNNNNNNNNNNNNNNNNNNNNNNNNNNNNNNNNNNNNNNNNNNNNNNNNNNNNNNNNNNNNNNNNNNNNNNNNNNNNNGGGCAGCCGAGAGUUCGACUAGUACGAUAAUGCUGGUACGAUUAUGAAGUGGGAUGCUGCCAACCGACAAGAUUCUCCCAUGACUACUAUCUCUAGAAAAUCUGGUUCCAACUGUAGCAGGUUCAACUAAACUGUCAAAACUGAUUUUAAUCUCUCCUGUAGUGGGUUACAAACAAUAAAGGGAAGGUGCCAGGGGGUUCCCCCACAAAGCCCGUUAUUAGCAUGAAUUCGCGUAGAUGGAUUCUGAACGGUCGAAACAAAUUCUUCCACCAAGACAAGCAUAUGUUUUGUUCGAUGCCGAAUACACAUACUAUAGCAGAGGCGGGGGCAAAAGCCUUUUCAAGUAUUUAAAUAAUUAAAUUAAUUAAUGAAAAAUUACCCAUAUCUGACGCCUCCGAACUGGGCAAUUUCAGGUGGCAAAAACGCGGAUGGUUAGAUGUUGAUUUGAUGACUUGUAAAUUAUAAUGAAACGCAAAAUAGGGGAGUUACAAACCUUUGCUUCUUUUUUUUUUGCUAAAGACAAACCUUUGCUUUAGAACAACAAAACAACCAUAUCUAUUUCGCUUCGGUUUCACUAGCUGGACAAUGGUAGCAUGCCUCACCCUGACACCAAGCCAUCUGGGCCUCCCCGACGGGGAAAGACAACCCCAGAUGCCACUGAAAUUUACCUCCGUGUAUCAUUAAACCCAGAGCUGAAAAUAUUUUCACUGAUGUCUUCCAUUAGUUAUAAUAACUUAAAAUUUGUCCAACACCUGCAUACAGAAGCAAUAUUUGCAAUGAUACAACCAGAAAUAAAAUCCACAGAAAAUCCAGAAUAAGUUUGUACCACUAAAAGCAAAGGUAAGAAACAUACACUGGAAAAUAACAUCUAUUAGACUAAUCAUGAUAUGCAUGUGACACCUGCCAUUCAUUUGCCACUCAUACACGACAUUGAGGAAACGUUCAAGACAGGUAUAAUCUGCUGUUGCAUAAGGAUGCCUAUCACCAUUGAACUGAUCACAAGCAAAUGUCAAACAAUCUCAGCACGCCAAACAUUGAUUUAUUUAUAAUAUUUAUAAUUACUGAUAAAUAACAACAGCAACAAAUAAACUAAUUUACAAAUACAGACACAAACAUGAAAGAAUGUAAUUUUACGUCACCAAACCAGCACAAACUGAAGAGGAUGAGCAAAAAUUGACUAGCCCUGAUUUUCCGAGGUAGGUCCUGAAGCAAAUUGUUGUUGCCUAGAAUCUCAGAUGCUGAAACUAUACGGGUGGUGGGCUAGCCCUUGUGUUUGGAGGAACAGCCUGUGAAGGGCGUGUGGGAGGUGUAGGGAUAAUUGGGCAAGAUUCUGGUACAAGAAUGGAGGGAGAGGCUGCAGGAGGUGGCUGAGUAGUGGCAGUACUUCUGGUAAUACGGCUGGGAGUCGGGGUGGUUGGGGAGAGAGGGGAAGAUGAUUCAGAUACUGCAGGAGCUGGUGAUGCAGGAGGGAUUUGGAUGGAGUAAACCUCCGUGACCUCUUCAAUGCCCUCAUCCACAUAAACAACAUCUUGCAUGUUGAGUUGGUGGUACUCCACAAUCUCCCUCAGGAAUCUAUUCUCCCUUGCAUAUGUGGAGUUCUCAUGUGCCAGCCUUGCCUUCUCAGCUAACAAUGUCUCUAGCUGAAGACGUAUCUACAUAACAUGGACAGGAAACAAAUAAACAAAGAAAAAAACGAAUUUGAUAAAGAAUUGUGGAUUAAUGGGAUUGCAUCAGAAUUUUUACUACAUGAUGCACUGUGAAUCUGCAAAUGAUUCUAAAGAUCUUGACAACUGUAAUUUUGUAACUUAAAUAUGUGGUAUGUUCCAGGGAGCACAUGCAUCAUAUUGAUGGUGAGAUAUUGGAUGUAGAAAGGAAAUGCACAAACCCAUGAGUUGAUUAUAUCUGUUGACCACCAAGCAUCGGAACUAAACCAGUGAUAGCUCCAUGGCCCAAUCUAAAGGUGGUACAGAGUGCAGAAAACAAUAUAUCAACAUGCAAUCACAAGCAGAAAUCAGAAAACAUGCCCAAAGAGAUAGCACAUUAAUACAAAGAAGAGUAAAUGCAAGCAAGGCAAUGUAUAAUACAAAAACAAGCAAUUACAUGCACAGCAAUAUAUUUUGCAGAAUGCAUGCGGGCACUAGCAUAAAUAGCAAAAGUCCGGUGAUUCAGUCUUGUGGGCAAUCAUGAAAACCAUUUCUUCAUGGUGAUUCCCUAAUCAAGGUUCAGAUCCAAGGAUCUGAGUACCAGUGCAUACCAGUCCAUAAUGGAUGUACCCUAGAGGUGAAGAACUGGUUGUAUGCCCUCGUAUCGGUCUGUAUCGAUGCAUGGUACAUUACCUUAUUAUUGCUGUCCCGGCCCAAAGAGACGUACCGUGUGUUUGGGAUACUGCAUAUACUUAAACCUUUUUCUCAUUAAAUCCAAUCAAAUAAAGUGUAUGCUGUAAGCAUUUAGUUUGUCCUUUAUAUCAUGUCAACAUAUUAAUGUCAGGUGAAAGUUCAAGAACAAUAAGCUCAUGCUAUUCUUCAUACAAUCAACAUCUAUACUAACAAAUCAUAAACAUGAAGUAAUAAAUUAAAUUAACACAAGCAUAAAAUAAACAAAAUCCAAGGCUCGUGGUACCGACACUGGAUACAGUACUAGUAUGGUAACAUACACUUGGUAUAGUAUGGUACACUCCCUACCAACACAACAUGAGGAGAUCCUUUUACUCAUGCCCAGCCGUGAAAUUGCCUCAAAACCAGGAGGUACAGGUUACUACAUGAAACCAAGCAGAAUUGAUCAAUUUGCCCACUACAAGUUGGUUCAGCCCUUGCGUCAUAUUGAACCUCAGUACUCUGCCAAUGCCCUGCCAUAUGGUGUGAUACACCAAAUACAUACUAGUAUGGGUUGGUAUGGCGAACAAUGCAUAAAGCCUUAUCAAACCAGAUCAAAUAUGUAAAACUUCUGACCUUCUCCGCACACAUCUCAACUGUUCUGCACCUUCUGACCAUUCAAGUAAUACCUUCCUAACCAAAGACACCACUAGCCUAUGUUACAUAUAUCUAAACCAUCUCAGCUCUUACAACAUUCUAUCAAUAUUGCUCUCAUUCCUUUAUACUCAUAUGUUAACUCCAGCACUCCUAAUUUUGCCAUAUCCAUAUUGGUGAUCCUUCAGCAGCUCGUCUUACACCAUUGGUCCAGUUCACUAUUCAUCAUACUAAUCCAUACAUCAAAAAAUGUUAUUAUAACUGUUUUAUAUAAUUACUCAAGCACAAAUGGUGUUUGACCAUCACUAACAUCAUAAUUCUCUCUUUUUCCUUGUUCUAUACACCUCACAAAUUCCUACUUAAGGUUCAUGAUGUAGUAUAUGUUUUUAACUGAUUAUAAACCUUUACUUUCAGAAAAUCAGUUCCAUAUUUCCAGUUUACAAUUCUUACCUUCCCAAAAAUUUCACUUGCUUCAAGUUGCAUCUUGGUUCUACAAAGGACCCAUCAGUUCACUCUGUGUACUCUUACAUAUUAGUCUGGGCUAAACCUUUUGUUCUCUAGAACUUCCAUAAAUAUUAGUUUCGUAUUUGUGUCUCCACAAGCUAAUCAAACAGCAAUGCAUAAUCUGCAGAAUAACAUGAAUCAGAGGAAGCCUCUAGGAUAUCAACAGAUAAUGUAUGUUAACAAAUAGGAGCUCAAAACAAAACCUGGUGAUGGUCAAAAGGGUGAAAAAGAAAUUAUUUUAAAAUUUAAUUGAACUUUUCAUUGGAGAAACAAAAUGCAUACAAGAUCAUCAUCUUCAGGAUUAGAUCCCUUCUCAUGACUCUCCCUCAGCAUUUUGUUUUCUUCUUCAAGCUGAGAACACCGUUCCUUUGCAAAAGCCAGGUCAGCUUUGACGGUCUUCAGUUCACGCAGAAGAAGCUUGGCCUUUGCAGCCAUUGCAUUAGCAACCUGCAAAAACAAGAUACAAAGCCAUUAAUUCGGUCCAUCAAAAGGGUGAAACAAUAAAAAGUAUGUAACAUAGCUAACUAUAGACAUGGUAGUGGACCAAAAGAAAAUCCUCUCAUUUUAAAAUACAUGUUUUGCAUUAAGCAUACUGUUAUAUAAAAAUCCACUGAGUCUCUGAUGGACAGCCCAGAGCUAAUCUGGUUAUCUCUGCCUGGUUCUAAGUAUCGGCAAACUGCAUAAUUCUAGGAAUUGGAAAGUUUCGCACUACCAUAAGGUGACCUCAAGAAUUAGAAGAGUGACUACUAACUAGAGCAUCUGUGCAUCAACUUUACCUUUGUGUUAAUAUACAAUAUGAAUGCUUUUCAUUUUUGAUGAUUUUACUACAGCAACACAAGAUGAAUGUUAUCAGAAUCGGGCAGUUGAAAAAUCAAGCAAAGUCAACUCUGUUAGAAAAUUUAUGUGGUUUAAGGAAUCAGUUUAACUCGAUACAGCUCACGAGCAUAUGUAGAACAGCAAUUUCAAUUUCGUGAUAUACAGUUGCCACCUUACGUCGCGAGAUGCCUUCAGUUGUGUUUCAUAAUCAGUUUGUAUCUGAGGAAAUAUGUGUUGAGCCAAUUUCUCUGCAGCCUGACUGUGUGCAUUGUGACCGCUUCCUUUUCUCCUAAUAUGCAGCUUUCGUGUUUCAUGGAUGAUGUCAGCAGUCUUAUUCUCCACAACUGUCCGACCCUCCUGGAAAAAUAAAGAACCACAUGAUUACCAAACUAAAAAUCAGAGGGCUACAAGAUUCCAAAUAGGAAGACCUUCUUGUCGUCUCCUCACACAACAGAUCAUACGAUCAAACCCAAGUUUUGGAACAAUCAGUGGGUGGACAGAUGUCUACAUCAUAAUGUUAAACACACAUUUUUCUGUUAUACAGGGACAUCAAGACACAUCAUUAACCAUUCCAAUAUGUAGCAUGCAUAUCUACUUUCUAGUCAAGUUGAAAUGUUAAAUUGAAGACCAUGUGAUUUUUGACAUAUAGUAGUGAAGGAGGUAAAUUUCUAACUCUCAGCAGAGCUCUAUUUCUUUCAGUAAUCUAAUGCUUGAGUUAAUAAUAGAAAUGUGAUUAUUAUCAUCAGGUAAUGCUGCUGAUCUUAAUGAACUGCCACUUGUUAAGUACUGAUCAGUAACGAAAAACUUCAUAUUAUAUGGAAAAAUUUCUAUUUUCACUAUUAGUUUUACCUUAUAACAUGAUAUCAGAACUAGUUUUGGCACCAGACUUCUACACGCAUAUAUGUGAAAAUAGGCACAUAGAUAUCCACAUACUCAGACAUUAGCAAUAUAUGACCCAUUUUGCUGUCUCUGAAUUUUGAGAAUACACAAUGUAUGACCCAUGUAUCUGAGUUGAUCACAUUAUCAAAUGAAGCAUGAAUCUUCAAAGCAUUCAACAAUUAUGCAGGACCUAAGAAAGAUUCCAUGAUUAUAUUAUAUAUUUUAAAAAUGAGAAAGUAUGUCAAAAGAAAACAACAGCAGCAAACAAGUCCCAGAAAGAAAUUACUUCGAGAGCAUUUUUAAUCGUGUCACCAAUGUAGUUAAGGGAAGAAGCUAUUGUAUCUGAACUUUUCUGAAAGGGAGGUGUUUCCGUCUUCUGGUAGCCAUGAGGUGACCAAUUUGAAUGAUAAAACUGCAUUAAGAAAAUAGAAUCAGUUGGAAAAGCAAAGAUUUAAAAUUGUAUUAAACCAUAAGAACCGCACAAAGUAGAGUAUGAUAGUGAAAAAGGAACGUUUUGGGCAAUUAUUUUUAUCACAAAAAAUGCACAAGAAAUUUCAGUUGUUUCACAAUUAGGCAUUCACCAGAAAGUUUGGUGAGAAUUCCCAGAAGAGGAAAGGUCCAACCCAGUUUCAAGGCAAUGUUUGAAGCUUCCAUGGGAUAAAAGAAGGAAAACCCACCCCAGCACUGUAACAUAAAGACAAGAGACCCUAAAGCACAGGCCCCAGUAGAAGCUCAGAAUUAUACUGUUAAACCCUUCUUAAACAAUCAAUUUACCUGCUAGGAUAUAUUAGAAAUAUGUUAAGAAGAGAAUUUUUGCCGAAUUGAAAGAUUUACAUCCCUUUCUUGCUUAUGCUUAAUUACAACACUUCAUUCUCACCUUUCGGUCUCACCAUUUUGUCUCAUCCUCUAUAAAAUACACAAAGGAUAAAACAGUUUCCAGGAUUCAGAUAUUCCAGAAAAAGUUGUCCUAACAGGAAACAAAAAGAAUGAUCCAAUGAUCAAUGAUGGGCCGACACUUAGUAUGCCAAAUUGGCCCUUGUACUGGGCGUACCGACACAGUGACAGGAUGGUACUGGUACGAGGCCCGGUACCAAGAUGGCGUAUCUUGAUCCAAUCCUUUAGAAGAAUGUUUCAGAUACUGUCCAACAACAGUCACCCAUAAAAGGAAUAUGCAUUUCAUAAGUAAGAGUUAACCAGCAAACAUGAGAUGCAAAAUUUGAUGCUACCUGACUGCCGGCUGAUGUGUUGGCUGCUUGGGGUUGGUUUCUUCCAGGAGUUUCAAAUUGCUUUGUUGUAUUAUCAUCCUCAAGAACUGCUUUAGCUUUUCUGGCUAAAACCCCCCAGAAUCCAUAUUUGGAUUCAUUCAAAUUUUUCAUUGACGUAUAUUCAUAGGCAGCAGAAUCCUACAUCAAAAGCAACAUAACUUAUUAUACAAUUAAUAAAUGAUGACAGAAUAUGCAGAUAAAAAAAAUGCCAUAUAGCAAAUCAAGUUACUGUUAUGAUAGCCUAACAACCUGCAAGGAACCCCUGCCAAGAAACCCCCUAAAAAUUUUCUGUCAAAUGGCUGGCCAAGGAAAUACUGGACAAGUGAAGUGCCUGCCAAGAAACCUGGAAACCAGGUGGCACUAAAAUCAGCCUAUCUUAAUUGCUGUAGAGUUUAAGAUCAUGUAAAUAUGUGGCAAGUUAACGAUGCUAAAUUGUUAUUCACAGAUGUCAGAGUAUUAUGGAACAGAGAAAGGGUUCCUCGAACACUUUCAUUAGUGGACUUACAUUUAAUUUUAACUUGCACAACAGAACAUUAGAUGCAGCCUCCAAGCUUUCAGUUAUCAUUUGUUUUCUUCUUUUAAACAGUCAUUCGAUUAUUACGUCAAUCAAAACCCAUAUAAUGAAAGAAACUUUUAUGUCAAAGCACUGCUGAUGCCUGGGGUCAUUGAGAAAUUGCUUCAACAAACCUUACAUUUGACAUUCCAGAAAGCCCGCAUGGUUACCAUAUAAGGUCCACAUCAACCAAUUAAAAAAAAAAUUAGUCGGGUUCCAGUAAAACAGCAAUUAAUCAAAGUGUUGCUGUUUCCAGAAUAACCUGCCUCAUCUCAAACAGAUCACAUAAAGGCUUCCAUCUUAUCCAAACAAUAGAAGAUAAGAUCCGCUGUCUCGAGAGAAAAAUAGAAAAAAAGACAAGUCAGGGUGUAAGACUGACAGCUUUAGUCAAUUACCAAUAAAUGUCUAGUCUCAUAUUACGAAACAAAAUGACAGCCUCAAAAGGGCUAGUUGAGGCUUAUAACCUUUGAACAGCCUCCAAAGCGUUGAUCACAGCUUAUCCUAGCAACCAAUAAAGCGUGGAAACCUUAAAAGAUAUAAUAGAACACCCAAACUCAGAAGAAAAACUAAUCAACAGAUAGCUCCAUCACUUAUUUGAACCUCUGUUCUGCGUUUCAACCUGUAGACGGUUGAAAUCUUGUAUUAGCCUCCCAAAACCCUGCUUGCUUCUCCAGAGAUUCUACACAAACCAUGCCAUUCAUUCUACUCAUAUUAUUGCAAUCUUUUUCUGAAAGAACCAUAUCAAAUCCUCAAUUUCUCCACACGAACAUCCAAAAACCUUCCAUAAACAUAAGUUUCCUCAGAUCAAUCAAGUGGAAUUUGCUUGUUUGCUUCAUCAGGACUAGAUCCUUCCUAUAAAUCCACUGAUUGGACAAACAAGUGAUGCAUUGCUAUGAGAAACUCUAGUGAUUCCAUGACACCAUUUAUCAGAUGCUUCAUGCUUCCAAUUACAUUUUACUAAAACUCAGUUCUGGCCCAAAUCAAAAGAAAACCUUCAAUAGAUCUGAUUCUGAACCAAAGAAACCCUGAGAACUUUCCUUUUUCCACAAGAUUCAUCUGUACAAUUGUUUCCGUUGAACUCGGUCAUAUAGUGAGCUUCUGUCCAAAAAUAACCCAACACAUCCAAAUCACUUAAUCAAGCAAAAGUAAAAUAAAAUAAAAUAAAAUAACCCAAAUUCCAAGCAGAAACACUGCUCCAACUCCCGGCAAUUCAAGAAAUAGGCAGCGAUCUGCAAGAACCCAGGUCUCUCAGACAAAGAAUAUGUUGAAAAGUAGGAAGAAAAGGUAAGGGGAGUAAGAACUGACCCUCGGCGAGGGGGAAGACCUCUCGCGAUUGGAAAACGGGUGGGCGGCGGAGGAGGCGACAGUGGACUCGCCAUAGGCGGAGGAGAGAGAGGAGUCGCGGUGGGCGGCGGAGGCCCGGAUCGCUUGGGCGGCGAGCGACGGCGGAUCGGUGGCAGCGGAUCGGUAGUCCUCGAAGGUGGAAGAAGUUUGAUAGGACACCCCCUGCUUCCGCCGGUACGCCAUGCCCUCCACGCCGCCGCCGAUGAGAGAGAAAGAAACAGGGACGGGGAGAGAGAGAGAGACAGAGACCGCAACUCGAGCCUCGGGUCCGAACGACGGACCCCUUUAUGGAUGCUGGAUAGGCGAGAGAGUUCGAUUGAACCCGUCGGAGGUCGGUCCCCGUCACGCCCUCAUGCUUUUAUCCUACCCAUCUCUCGAUAUCCACCGUCCAUCUCAUGAGUUGUCUUCUUCUUGUUCUUCCUUUUGGUUGGACCUUGGCCCAAAGCGUGGACAGGCCGGGUUCGGAAAUAAGGACCGAGGCAGUGAGCUGGAGAGUGAGUAGAUGGACGGCUCUGAUGUGCCUAGUAUCCAAUGGUGCUCCUAGUGCAACUUUGUGAUCCAAUUAAGCCAACCUAAUUAGCUGUUCAGAUGGGAGUGUGUUGAUUUUUUUUUCGUUAAGAUAUAUUAAAAAGAGUUUUUUUUUUACAUGAAUACUCUUCUGAAAAUUUAAAUUUACACAAAUAUUCUUUUAAAAUUUGUAUUUAUGUGUGUAUUCUCGUAAAAUAUAGUUUUUACACAAAUACUCCUAAUAUGUUCUUCUAACACCAUUAAUAAAAAUCAUAUUUAUUUAAAUUAAAAAUAAAAUAAAAUUUUGAAAUUACUUUUUUGUCCCCCAUUGCUAUCGUAUUAUAAAUGUUUCUCUUUUUUUUUCGUGCACAUCUACCCAUUAAGAAUAGUUUAAUUAUUUUAAUAAAUGGUGUGGGAACACAUACAAAAACAAAAAUGAAAAA